rnacentral:lncRNA from 1 species
AAAAGCGAAUAAAAAUCCAGAAAAUAAUUGCGACUCUUAGAAUAUAGUUGUGAAGAGGAGUUGAAUGUAUCACCGGGGUUUAAACUGUCAUCUGCUGCAUCAACAUGAAUAGAAGAACUCCACCACAACCACAGGUGCAUGAAAGCAAGCACAAGUUUCUGAAGGAUAAGCCUCAUUUGCAAGAGGGUGAGAGUGUGAUACUGUGGUAAGUUGAAAUAAUGUGCAUGUACUUUUUAAAUGCAAUUUUUGUUGUUGAAAUGUUAGUGAACAAGUGACUUAUCUUAAUUAUUUUGGUUGUAAAAAAUUACCUGUUAAAGCAUAUCAGAAAGCAAACUUCAUAAAAACUAAAAUCUGAAGUGAGGUUGUCAUAUUCAUUGUAUAAAAAUAACUAUACAAUAUUUUUUUUCCAUAAAAUAAUUAUUGUUAUUAUAUAACAUUGUAAGUCGAUCAUAAUAAUUUCUAAAGAAUUGGCGAAGUGAUAACAAAAAGAAUCAUAAGAUUUAAUCAUUGUAAAGUGAUUUAUUUGUUUUGCAAUUACUAUUAUUAUUAUUAUUUAAAUAACAUUCUGUCAAGUAAUGCUUAUUUAUCAGCAAAAAAAUAAAAUGUCACUGGUCAUAAUAAAUAAUUACAAAAAUAUUAUUAGUGAAUAAAAAUAAAUAUAUUAUUUAGUUGAGUAAGACACCAAAAAUAAUAUAAUUAUUUUAAUUUAAAAUAUUUUUUAUUAUUUUUUGUUUUCAGCCUUAAACAAAGGAAAUUAAAGAAAACACUAAAGCAUAAUAUCAAGACUAAAAGUAAUAAAAAUGUUAGAGGAAUUUAACUUAAGUGCAUAACUUUAAACAUGCAUAAGCCUUGUUAAAAUCAUUUUAAAUGUACAAUUUGAAUACACAUAAUAUUGUUAUUAUCUAUGUGUGUAUAUAGAUAUAUUAAAAUACAUAUCUAAAAAUUAAGACAAGGAAAACAUGAAAAGGUUAUAAUUAACAAGUAUAUAAAUUACAAUUUCAAUACCAGUUUAGAAUUUCUGAAACUCGUGUUCUAGAUAUGACCAACCCUUUUCUGUUGGAAAGAAAAAGAAAGGAUCUUUCAGUAAAAGAAAAGAAAAGUAUCACUUAUCUUUACUAAAAAAAUUGAAAAAAGUAUGGAUAAGUUGAAUGAAUACUCGGAGUUAGAUUGUAUUUAAGGUACAUAUUUUAUAAACACUUAUAAAAUUUAAAAAACCAUCAUUUCUUUAUACAAGGUAAGAUUACUAUAAAUAAAUUAAAAAUUAUAUUUACAAAAUUAAUAAAAAUAAUUUUUACAAAUAUUUAAAUAUGUUUAAUUCAUAAACGAAUUAACUUUUAAAAUGUUUACACAUGAUAUCAAUAUAAAGUGAAAGACAUUAACAAUGGCCAACAAAACUUCGUGUUGUGGGACCUAUAUCUUUCAUUUCCUUUUGGUUUUGAGUAAUCUCUUCUCUUCCAUUAUUGAACUUUCAAAGAUAUGGAUAUCAUUUUAGUAUGGAUAAGUUUAACACCUUUUUUUCACAAUUGGAAAAUUAUAGUUCAUAUUUAUUAGAGGUCCAUUAUAAUUUUAAAAGAAUUAGUAUAUAAAAGCAACUUACAAGAGGCUUGAAUCUAUGUUAUUUUCUAUAUUGUGUUUAAGUUUACUAAUUUUAGCUUUUAUCUAUUUAACUAUAAUUUUUUCCAAGGUUUUGUUUUUAAAUUAAACAAUUUUGAUUUAUUGUCAACACACUAGUGCAAAAUAUAAAAAUAAUGACCAUUUAUUUAAUGCGUUUUUACUGUCAGAUGCUAUCAUUUAAAAUACGGUGCUAUUUUUUAAAUUAACUUCAUUUAAGAAUGCGACUAUUAGGUAAAGUCGCAUUCUUAAAACAAAGCGCUUUGUUUAUGAAUGCGGCUUUAUCUAAUACUUGCAUUCUUAAAACAUUUUUUACCCUUACUCAGAAACGCACCACAUAUGUUUUCAUACUUUCAUUUCUCUGGCACUUGGUUUCUCUUCUAUUCUUCUACUAGGUGCUUCCUAUCUUCUUAUAUCCACAUUGCAUGCAUUUUCUUCAUGUCAUCGAUGAGUCGUUUGGAGCUCUCUACUUCUUCUUCACCAUUGGUUUUUGUAUUUUUUCCAUUUCUCUUAUUUGUUUGUUUUCUGCCAUUGCUAGUCACCACUGUUUCAUUGGCACUGUUUGAAUUUUUACUGGGCCUUGCUCCGUCGCUGCUGCAGGUCUCGCGCCGCUCUUCACCACCAUCAUUGCCUUCACGCACAAGGUUGGUGGUGUUUUAUAUUUUUUAAUGUUAUUAAUUUGUUUAUUUAUUAUAGUUUGUAUUUUUUAAAUUUAUAUUAUUUUUGUUUUUAGGUUAGAAUAGAAUUAUUAAAUUAUUAGAUGAUAGAUAUAUUUAUAUUAUUGAUAUGUGCUAUAUUGAGUAUGGGGGUGUUCGAUCCUCAGCAAAUGUGACAUAGAACACUAAUUAGAAAACACCUGAAUGACUAUUACAGAAUAUAAUGGAUCAAAAUUGGAUUAAUUUUGUUCGCAUAAGUGAUAAGUACGAAAGAUGAGUAAAAGAAUUUAUACAAUUUGCGCAACAUAACGCGAAUAAUAAUGGUCAUGAUGGAGCAAAGAUCAGGUGUGCAUGCAUUAACUCUUUGAAUGGAAGGAUAUUGGAUGUUAAGAUAGUCAGGGGGCACCUUCUAUCUGGUGGGUUUCUUCGAUCUUAUACAACUUGGACAUGGUAUGGUGAAUUAUUAAAUUUACCAUGUUAUUCCGUAACUGAAGAAUAUGUGGGGUCCACCAUGGAUGAUGCAGUACAUGAUGAUGUAGAAGAUGAUCGAUAUGAUUUGUGAUGUGGGAGCUGAGUCUUUUGCAAAAGCGCAUGGAUAUGGAAGUAUGUCAAUCGAUGCAGAGACUCCAUUGUAUCCUGGAUCAACCAACUUCACACGGUUGUCGGCGGUGUUAAGAUUGAUGAAUUUGAAGACAAUAAAUGGAUGGACUGAUAAAAGCUUCACAGAAUUGCUUUAAUUGUUGAAGGAUAUGCUUCCAGAGGGAAACACCCUACCUAAUCGUAAGAGAGGUUAGAUUGUGUGGACCAGUGUACUUAAGAUGGAUGUAUCCUGUUGAGCGGUAUAUGAAAACUUUGAAAGGUUAUAUGAAAAAUCAUUAUCGUUCAGAAGCUUCAAUGAUUGAAAGGUACAUAGCUGAAGAAAGUACGUAUUAAAUUUUGUUCAGAGUACAUGUCAAAAGCAAAUCCAAUAGGUCUUCCAACUACUUCAUGGCACCACAGGCGUUCUACAAGUAAAUGUUUACGUGGUGUGAAUAUUGUAAGCAAAUCUCAAUCAGAAGUCUUGCAAGCACAUUUGUAUAUAUUAAAUAACACAGAUGAAGUUAUACCUUACAUAAAAGCUCAUAAAGUCAUUGUGAAGGCAAAUAACCCAAGAGAAGCAGAGAAAUGGGUAUUGAUGGAACAUAAUAGAACAUUCAUGCCUUGGUUUAAAGACGAGGUGUUAAAGGAUUCAACGACAUUGAAGACCUUGACCUGGUUGGCUGCUGAAUUGAAGUUUGAUGUCAUUUCUUGUACAGCGUACGAAGAGAACAAUUGUAUAUUUUACACGAAAUCUAUGGAUGAAAAUAGUACAAUUAAAAAUUCUGGUGUUAAUCUUGAAGUCGACUCAAUGCAGUUUUCCACUUCGAAAGAUACAAAUCUUGUACUUGGAUCAAUGACAAACUAUGGUUUUACAGAAGAGAUAUGGGAGGUUGACUAUACUAAGUUUUUUGUUCUAGUUUUCAAGUGUAAAUGGGUUGAAAAUAAAAGUGGGGUUAAAAUUGAUGAAUCUAAAUUCACACCAAUGGACUUUUGAAAGAUAGGGUAUCGAGAUGAGCCAUUUAUAAUGGUUCAACAAGCAUCUCAAGUUUUUUACGUCAAAGAUCCUACGUCAAAACAUCGGUAUGUCGUUUUACACGGGAAAAAACAAGGGAAGGUCAUAGAUGAUAUUGAAAAUGGUGACCCCCGUUCAUUCACACCAAUGAUAAUUAAUAAAGAUGACAAUGUAGUUGAUGAUGUACAUGCAACCCGUAAGACCAUAAUGAAGGAAUUUACACAUGAACAGUCAUCCUACUAUGGUAAUAAAUCUAGAAAUAUUUUUGAUAAUACACAUUUAGAAUUUUAUGUAUUUGUUUUAUAUGAUCUUCUUUUGACGCAGAUAUGGAUGACGAUCAAACGCCAAUCAGACCCUAAUUUGGACGAGGCAGUAAAAGACCUACUAGAUUGAAAUGUCUCUCAUUGAGAUGUGCUGCUGGUGAGAAUACACGUGUUGACAUUUAUGCCAACACUGGAGUGGCUUCUGCUCCUAAUGUUGAGACGUUUAAUCUCUAUCUUGGAGUUAUUUCUCGUGAGAGGCUCUCCAUUUUGAUUAAUUCAUGGGAUGAUGUGUUAGAAGUCGAUCGAAACAUGCUUUGGGAGGAUGCUCAGGCAAGCUCUACAUUAUUAUCGUUAUCAUAUAAUGCUUUUUAACAUUCAUUGAUUAGUUUUAAUUUAAUGAUAUUAUGUUGUAGACAAAUUUUGAAAUCCCUAAUGUGGAACCGUGCGGUGAAGGUCACCACUGCUUCAUUGUCUGUUGUUUGGGUUUUUGUUAUGCUGUAUUUGCUCCGUCGUUGUUGUUGUUGUUGUUGCCUUAAGGUUUAGGGUUUUAAUUUAUUUUUAUUUUUAAAAAAGAAGAAUGCGACUAUUUACCAUAGGUACAUUUAUAAAUUGCAUUUACGAAUGCGGCUAAAUAGCCGCACUUGUAAAUCUUCGAUUUAAGAGUGCAUGUUGAUCAAGUGCGACUAUAUAGCCGCCCUUAUAAAUGUAAAAUAGCCGCACUCGUUUUUCCUUUCUGCACCACUGAAAACUCAACCAAACAACUUUUUUUUCAUGCUCAAACUCACUCAUAGGCUUUAAAGAUAAAGUGUAUUCUAUUAUCAAAUGUGUGAUUUUACAUGAGCAAAGGUGCUCUUUUAUAGCCUAAGAGUCAUGAAAAUUAAGCCUCUAAGGAGAGUGUGAGACUUCUUAACACAUGAUUUCCUUAGGAUUUUCUUAUUCUACCCUAAGUUAGACUUAUUCUAAGAAACAAACACCAAAACUAUGAAGAAGAUAACAAACAAGACCACACAAGUUGUAGAUUUUUUUCUCUUUGGAUUCUUCUAUAUUUUUUACAUUUUAUAAGAGUCCUAAAGUCUUAUUGACUUGAUGAAGUUCUUAAUUUAACACCUUAACCUUGCUUCUUAUAAGAACUUCUCUAAAAUCCUCUCGGAUGGUCCGUAUUCUUUUCCAUUUCUUUAACUUUCCUUGUUUCUUGUGAUCACUCCGUCUUGUGUUGAUAUAUUUUGAACCAUGAUCUCCUCAUUAUAUAGCAAUACUAUAAGUGACUCACAUAAAACAUGUAUAGAGUAAAAAAACACAUGAACAAUGUUUGUCAAUUAGAUGGUUUCACCAUAUUGUUCAAGUCUUAGUAGGCGCUAAUAAACCAAAUGGUCUACUAAGACCAUCUACCAAAUAUGGUAGAAACUGUAUAUGAAGCUCUGGAAGGUCUAACAUGAAAAGACAGUCUAGUAACCUUUAAAUAAGAUUUUAUUGAAUCAAUCUUCACCCAUUUAAAUGAUUUGAGGAACAAAUUAAAAAUAAAAGCAAAUGUUUACUAUCUUAAAAAUAUAACAAACAUUUCUUAACUUGCAAUGAAUAAGUAAAUAUCUAGUUUCUUUUUUAAUUAGUACAUAGCUCACUCAGAUUUGUUCUAUUUCCAACGAAGUAGUAAUUUCUACUGUAGAACUAGUACACAACUCUGAAGAAAAUAACUUCUCAUUAAACAUCUCUCUUUGAAUAUAAAAUGCUGGUUUUUUAGGUAAAGACACUAUUGCACUCUUGUUUGUCAACAUUGAUAUAACGUCAGACAUUGUUGGUCGAUCAUUUGCAUAUUGUUCAACACAUAGGAGACCAACAUGAAUACACCUUUGCACUUCAUCAUAAUCAAGUGACUCAUUUAAUGAUGGAUCCACUGAUUGAAAACACUUGUCAUCUAUCCAUAGUUCCCAUACCUAUAAGUGUUUUGUUCAAAUUAGACAAAAAGAAUAUUAUACCAAAAAACAAACUCAUCAAAGCUAAUUUUACAUACAUGUCCAAUUAGAUUUAUUGGGCGAUCCUCGUCAUAAAAACUAGUGUUUUUUCGUCCACUAACAAUUUCAAGUAACAAGACCCCGAAACUAUAUACAUCAGACUUUGUAGAAAAAACUCCUUCCAUAGCAUAUUCUGGAGACAUGUAACCACUGCAAGAAAUAUUACAUCAGAAAAUAAAUUUUAUUUAUAGAUUGAUAUAUAAGAUAAAUAUAACCAAGUUUAACAAGCUUACUAUGUCCCAACAACCCUGUUCGUAUUUGAUACUGAGUCUUGUUGGGUGAACAUUCUAGCCAUUCCAAAAUCUGAAAUUUUUGGAUUCAUAUUUUCAUCGAGAAGUAUAUUACUAGCUUUCAAGUCUCUAUGAAUGAUUUUGAGUCUUGAGUACUUGUGAAGAUACAAUAAUCCUUGAGCAAUUCCUUGUAUUAUGUUGAACCGCUUAUUCCAAUCUAGUAAUUUGCUUCUUGUACAAUCUUCCACAUGGUCAUAAAGUGAUGUGCGUUAGAAUGUAUGUAAAAAGAAAUAAAUGACUUUUCUUCAUGAUGUUCUAACUACUAGGAAAAUUGAGUAAUUAUAGUAAAUCUAUCAUCAACAAACAACAAUGAGAGUUGAGAAAGAUCAAUGUUGACCUAAAUAUGUGUUUGAAUAGUUGCAUAAUAAUGAAAACAAGUUUUAUCUGUUUGACAUGUUAAACAACACAUAAUCAGAAAACAUAAUUAGAUAAUGUUCAACACAUUCCUCACCGAAAAGAUAGAAAUCCAAGCUUUUGUUGGGCAUAUACUCGUAAAUUAGAAUCUUCUCUUCUUCAUGAAUGCAACAACCAAGUAGUUGAACAAGAUUCAUGUGCUGAAGUUCACAUAUAAAUGUUAGUUCGUUUUUAAACUCUACAAUUCCUUGUGUAGAACUUUUUGCAAGUCUUUUUAUAGCAACCUCCUCUCCUGUUGGCAAAGUUCCCUAAAGAAAUGAGAACAAAAAGACCAUGAGUCCAACGAAAUAAAGUUAGCAGCACAUAACAUGAGCAGUUUCGAUCACCUUAUAAACUGGUCCAAAGCCUCCUUGUCCUAACUUAUUCUCUGAUGAAAACCCAUUUGUGGCUUCCACAACCAUGGUAUAAUCGAAUACUUUUAAACCGUGUCCCUUGUUCAAAUCAUUUCCAAAAUCUUCGAUUAGAGUCAUUUCUUUCCUUUUCUUCUCUGAUGAAAAUAAGAAAUAUUAAAAUAUAGAAAAGUGAUCAAAAGAUUUUGUUUAACAAUGAGUUUGAAAUAGGUUACUACCUUGAAGCACAUGUUUUCGUUUCUUUAUUGCCAGGCAUAGAAUGGAUGCGCAUAUUAUGAGUAAAGUAGCUGCUAUUACUGUACUUAUCCAUAUCCACCUCUUUGUACCUGCUUACAACAACUCAAAAUCUUCAAGUACCAAUUAUUAAUUUUAUGGCUUUAUAAUUAUUUGCAAUGCCAUUGUUAAGCGUUGCAGCCAAUGAGUUCUUCCCUUUUCAACUUGGAGAUCAAAGACUGCUAAAAAAAGAAAUUAUUCACUCUUGAUAAAGGGUGUAUUCAAUUUAGGUAUGAUUGGAAUCUUUAGACUUUGCAGUACGCAAUUUAGGGUAUGAUUGGAAGCAUUAGAAAUGAAACUUCUUUUUUGUCUAUAAAAAAUGAAAUGAAGUUGGCAUUAGACAUACCGUGAUGAUGAGGGACUAUGUUCCCUUUGUUCUCCAGUACGUAAAUGUCUUCACCCGAAACAGUGCCGUCAACUAUAUAAUCUUUUGAUGAAAUCCAAUGAUAGAAUAUACAUCCACUUCCAUCAUUAUAGUAUUCUUUGAAUCCAUUGCAAUAACAAUUGCUCCAGCAAGCACCCUCACAAUCGCUGUAACUAAUAUUCUUAUUAUCGUCAUAAGUUACGUUUUCAUAAUUAGAGCGAAGACUCUUUUUGGUAAACACUUCAUCAGGAAUCCUGCAUUUAGGUAUAUCCUGCCAUCUUUGGCACCCUCCUUCUGUGUUGUUGUAUCCAAAACACAGAUCAGCCCUUGCAACGAAUCCACCGUUGCUAUUGUAAAGUAACUGCCCAGUACCAGACAGGAACCACUGACUUGUAUGGCUUUCAUUUGUAGAUGUGAAAGAGAAGGUGUCUUCAUCCUCAUUGGAGACUAUGCUGUACUUCAACACGCCUUGUGCAUCUUCCGGAAUGUUCUCAAAUCUAUUGUUCCUCAGUUUCCCACUUUUCCAACAAACUUUUCCUCGCCUCCUUAUCAUCAGUUCUUGUCCCCUCGGUUCCCAUUCAAGACUAAAGCCACCUCGAGUCGCUCUCGCAUAGAUCAACUGCGAAAAAAGUAACCAACGAUGGCCUGUUUUGUGAUUAACACCUAACUUCAUGGUGGGGAUCAAAGUGUCAGUGGGAUAAUCGAAACUCUGCCACAAGAGAGUUGUUGUCCCAUUGGAGUGAAGGUGAUGAAGAACAAAGUUGCCUGUGUCCAACAAAGUGGCCACAGUGUUGUUGAUAGGUUGAGGUGGAGAAUACAGAAUAAUUGAUUUUUUGACAGAUGCAUAUUCUAUUUUGAGCACGCCAGAUAGGUUUAAGGAUAGAACUGGAUCGCUCGCGACGACAGAUUGUUCUUUAUUAGCGUCCCAAACUAUAGCAUGUUCAUUUAGUAUUGCUAAGUAAGGAAAAAAAUCAACUCGACCUGCAAUAGUAAUAAAUUCCAGAAGAUAUUUGCGACUCUUAGAAUAUAGUGGUGAAGUGGAGUUGAGUGUAUCACCGGGGUUUAAACUGUCAUCUGCUGCAUCAACAUGAAUAGAAGAACUCAACCACAACCAGAGGUGCAUGAAAGCAAGCACAAGUUUCUGAAGAAUAAGCCUCAUAGGAUGCUUCAAAUGUGGAAAGACUAGUCUGCAAGAGAGUGAGAGUGUGAUACUGUGGUAAGUUCAAAUACCUUAUCUGUUAGAGCAUCGGAAAGCAAUAUCAAACCUAAAUAAUUGGCCAAGUGAUACUACAAUAAAAUUACUAAAUAAAAAGUGAUCAAAAUAAUUAGUUAUAAUAAAAUAAAGAUAUUUUAAAAAUUAAAAAUAAAUUAAUUUUUAAAUUAUUUUAUAUUAUUUUUAAAUAAUUUUUAAAUUAGUAUCUAGUUAACAACUAAAGUUUUAACUACUAAUUAUUUAGUUUCUAAAUUUGGUAGCAAAAACUUGAUUGGUAAUUAGAUACCAAUUUAGAAACAAUUUAAUAAUAAUAAAAACUAAUUUAAAAAAUUAAAUUUUUUUUUUUAAUUUUUAAAAUAAUCUUUAAUUUAAUUACUAUUACAACUCAUUAUUUUUGUUUUUACAAAUUAGUUUUUAUUUUAUUAUUUUUUUUUGUGUGAAAACAAAAAGAUCAUAAGACUUAAUUGAUUGUAACUGAUUUUUUUUUUCUGGAAAUACUACUACUAUUAUUAUCAUUAUUAUUAUUAUUUAAACAUUACAAAAAAAUUACAAAAAAUAAUUAAUUUAUAAAAAAAUAGUUAAUUAUUAUAUUUAUUAAAUUAGAUAUUAUUAAUAAAAUAUAGUUUUAAUAUAAAUAAUUAUUUUAAUUUUUAAAAUUUAUAAAACAAUUUUUAAAAUGUUAUCUAAUUAAUUAUGAGUAACUUAUAUUUUAAAUUUGGUGAUUAAUUAAAUAUUAGUUUAAAAAUAUUUAAUUAUCGUAAAAGUUAUUUUAAAUAUCAACUUUUAUAGUUUAUAAAAUAAUAUCUUUGUAAUAAUUAAUUAUUUUUUGUUUUAUUACAAUUAAUUUUUAUUUAAUAUUUUUUUUAGUAAUAUUUAUUUAUAAUAAUUAUAAUAAAAUAAAAAUUUAUAAAUUAUGUUUAUUUCAGCUAUGUAAGUCUAGAUAACACAGAACAAUUUAGAAUUUCUCAAAGUCGGUGUUCUAGAUGUGACCAACCUUUUCUGUUGGAAAGAAAAAGAAAAGAACUUUUAGUAAAAGAAAAGAAAAGUACCACUUAUCUUUACUAAAAUAAUUGAAAAACUAUGGAUAAUUGCUUACUCGGUGUUAGAUUGUACUUUUGAAGGUACAUGUUUUAUAAAAUAAAAGAAAGGUUCGUUUCUCUAUACAAGGUAAAAUUAUUUUAUAAAUAAAUUAAAAAUUAUAUUUUACAAAAUUAAUAAAAAUAAUUUUUACAAAUAUAUAAACUAUGUUUAAUUCAUAAAGGAAUUAAUUUUAAACAAAUUAAGAUGUUUGCAUAUGAUAUAUCAAUAUAAAGGGAAACACAUUAUCAAUGGCCGACAAAACUUUUUGCUUUUGAGUAAUCUCUUCUCUUCCAUGAUUGAACUUUCAAAUAUAUGAGAUAUCAUUUUAGCAUGGACAAGUUUAACACUUUUUUCUCACAAUAGGAAAAUAAUGAGGUCACAUUUAUUAGAGGUCCAUUAUAAUUUUAAAAGAAUUAGUAUACAAAAGGAACUUUAAAUUAGAAAGAGGCUUCAGUCUAUGUUUUCUUCUAUAUUGUGUUUAACUUUAUUAAUUUUAGUUUUUAUCUAUUUAACAUAAACUUUCUCACUGUUUUGUUUUUAAAUUAAACAAUUUUGAUUUCUUGUCAACAUGUAUAAUUUUAUUUUAUUUUUCAGCAAAGAAUUAAAUUAAAUAAAAGGGAAUACUUCAGGGGUAUCCCAACCCAUGUACAGAAGAAAGAAAGAAACCUAUCUAUAUCUAGAACAAAACCUCUUCCCUUCUUAAAAAAUAAUAAAACUUUCAACAAGGGACCAUAAACAGUUUGCACCAAGAACAGGUACCAUAACCUAGGUGACACAAGACAAGGCUUCAUUAGAGCUAAGCCACCACCAUCAACGAAACAAUUAAUUCUAUCAUUCCUCCAACACAUCACAAACCUUGCAUCCCCAUGGACUAUGUGUUGGAACACACAUCCAAAAAACCAAAUUGGCAGCAACAAAUAAUUAGCUGCAACACACAUCAAAUAGCAUUCUAGGAUUGAUACAAGCCUUGAUUUGGCCUUGGAAGUCAAUUGCUGUGAUUUGGCCUUGGAUAGCAUCUGCCAUAUCUACCAUCAGAACCACUGAUAGCAUCCUGCAUCCCUUCAUUUGGACUAAGCUGUCCCUGCAUAACGCUGUCAUGUAAUUAAAAAGGCAAACAGCACACUACUACAUCAUUUCCAUCUCCUUCCAAAUCUUCACCGUGGCACUUUAAGCACCUAACCCUUCCGAAUUGUUGUGCAAUCAUACCCAUAGCAAGAAAACUCACUCCACUAGAACCAGCAUCUAAACAGUAUUAUGGAAUGGCACUCAUCCUUGAGAUCAGAAUCUCUUAUGAAGUGGCAACCUCCAGUUGUGCUCAUCUUCUCCACCUUGUCUCCAACUUGGUCUCUAAAAUCCAGCAGCAUAUACUUCCUUAAUUGGUCCUAGAGAAUCAAUCUUGUAAAACCCUUCGUUGUCCUUUAGUCUUCUAUUGUUUUACCUUUCAAUCAUGACCGCCAACAAUGCUAACAAUGUAAGGUUCGUGUUCAUCUUUCACUCCACCUCUUCGAAAACCUCUCUAAGAAAACAACAAAUCUGCAGAAUUUGUUUCCUAUAUACCAGCAUACUUCAUGUAAUCCCACAGCAGAAUAACUCUUUCACCAUUGUCCCAUUUUGGCUAAAUGUUACGCAUUCUAAUUAUAAUCUCUUCUUUCUCAUCACUUACCUUUCAUCUUACCCUAUCCCCCUUUCUUAGAUAAAUUGUUACAGAUGGGUGCCUUCUUCCCAGUUGUUUAUCAAUGACUGACUCACCUUUUAACUUACUUGUUGGGUUCAGUUCUCUCGCUUUCGUUGUCUGCAAGAAUUUCUUACCAUUACAAUCUUCUUGCUCGUUAGGAAACACUUUUUUCUCCUCCCUGCAAAACAUCCAAGUAUAUUCAUCACAGCCUCACAACAGAAUAUUGAACCUCACCCUUCCAACUAUGCCAGCUUCUCCGUUCUCUGCUACUUAUUAUUGAACAUCUAUUCAUCCUGUUUACCUGCAUCACAAAACAACUACCUUCUACUCCACUUAAAAGACAUAAAAACAGAAUGUUCUAUAACCAUAGAUAUGCAAAUCAAACACAUUUCUUAGUACCAUCCAACCUAUCAUGCUUUAUGAAUAGAAUACGAAAUAGUUACACAGAUUGCAACAAGCUGAACUUAUUUUGUUACCAUCUUAAUAUAGGUUAGGGGUGAUAAAAUCCAUUCAAAAUAAGAGAAGUUCACUUUCCUUUCUUUAUAUUUCAUCCAAACCCAGGAUUGUACUUGUGCUAGAGUAAAGAUUUCCUCUGCAUCUACCUUACCUUGAUUAAAAAUAACCCUGUUUCUAUGCUUCCAUAUACACCACAUGACUGAAACCCACAUGUUUUUCCAUAAACUGUUGCCUUCUUGAUUUAAGCAUGAGCAUGAGAAUUGUUCGAAAUGACAAAUCAAAUCACUGUGGUUCACCGAACUAAUCUCCAACCAGCUGAGGCACAAAUUCCAAACUUUAAUUGAUUCCUCGCAUAAAAUUAAAUGUGCGUAGUUGUCUCCUCCUCCUUCCCACAUAAAACGCAUAAAGUAUCCUCCAUUACAACACCCCUUCUCUGCAGGUUCUGUUUAGUCGCAAUUCUAUUCGACAAAGCCCUCCACACGUAAAACAGGGUUGAGGGCAUAACCUUUAAACCCCAAAGAUGUUCAAACACCUCCGACCCCCUCCCAAUUGUGUGAUUUGCUAUCUUAUUAUAAGCUGAUUUUACCGAAAAAGAGUAUGAUGGAGGGUCAUUCCAAAACCUUUUGUCCUCAGUGUCUUGGUGUAAUGACACCUGUGAUAUUAUUGUCAUAAAAUCCUCUACCAUUAUUUUUUCCCACUCAAACCACUCUCUUCUCCAUCUAAAUUCCCACACCCAUCCUUCUGUAGACCAUCUUCCACAUCUAUUUAUGGUCUUAUCCUUCAAUUCUGAGUUAUUAUAUAAUCUUUCAAAUCUCUCUUUGAGUUGACCAGUAUCUAACCAUUCAUCUUUCCAAAAUUUGAUUUUUUCCCCUGAUCCCACUUUCCAGACUAAGUUCGCAUUGAACCAAUUAUUGCCUUGAUCUGAAGUUCUAACUUUUAUUAUAUCCUUCCACCAUCUAGAUGAGUUUGCUAGCCUCCUCGAAUCAUACUUCGAGUCUAGAACUUCCUUCCAAAGUCCUGUCUCUGGUGAUUCUAAUCUCCAUAACCAUUUAGCUAGCAAUGCCUUGUUGAACUCAUCGAUUCUCCUGAUUCCUAGUCCACCUUCCUUUUUCACUUUACAGAUGUUCUCCCAACUAAUCCAAGCGAUUUUACUCCCCUCUGCUCCCCACCCCGCACAAAAACUUUCUUUGUAGUUUUGUGAUCUCCUUGCACACUCCUACCGGGGCUUUAAAAAAUGAUAGAAAGAAAAGUGGUAUGGCGUUGAUGACAAAUUUUAUUAGGCAAACUCUUCCCGCGAAGGACAAGUUCCUCCCCUUCCAUACUGAAAGUUUCUUUCUAAUCUUUGAUAGGACAGGUUCCCAGAAGGAACACCUAGAUGGAUUACCACCUAUGGUUAGUCCUAGGUAUGUAAAGGGUAUAUCCAUAAGGCUACAAUGCAUUAUUUCCGAGUAUAGCUUCACCUCAUUUCUAUCUACUCAAAUUGCUCCAAUUUUGCUCUUAUGGAAAUUAACUUUGAGGCCCGAGCUUAGUUCAAAACAUCUUAAAAUGGCCUUUAUGCACAUAAUAUUCUGUACUUUCGAUUCACAUACAAAAAGAGUGUCGUCAGCAAAUUGGAGUAGAUUAAUUUCCACCUCCUUUCCCCCCACUUUUAUUCCGGAUAACAAUUUUUUUCUCGUAGCUUGUUUCACUAAUCCCGCCAGACCUUGUGCUACAAUCAAGAACAAGAACGGUGCCAUAGGGUCCCCUUGUCUAAGGCCUCUAGAGGGUUUAAAUUCUUUUGACGGGCUACCAUUUACCAAAACCGAGACUGUAGCUGAUUCAAGGCAUUCUCUAAUCCAUUGUAUCCAUCUUUUGCAAAACCCAAGUCUUUCCAUCAUAUAAAACAAGAACUCCUAACUCACCGAGUCGUACGCCUUUUCGAAAUCAAGUUUCACAAUGACCCCACUUUUUCUCCUUCUUUUCAAAUCAUCCAACACCUCAUUCACUACUAGAACGUUGUCUAAUAAUCCUCUAUUCGAUAAAAACGCCGAUUGUGAUCCAUCUAUCACCUUCUCUAUAACUUUUUUAACCCUGUUAGAUAACACUUUAGUCAGGAUUUUAUACAAACAGCCUACUAGUGAUAUGGGUCUAUAUUCUUCAAGAGAUUGGGGAUUUUCAGACUUUGGGAUCAGCGUUAGGAAGGAAGAAUUACAACCCUUCGGAAUUUUCCCUUCUCUGUGGAAACAAUUAAGAGCUCCCAUCACCUCCUUAUUUUAAAGACCCCAGUACUUUUUAAUGAAACUGAAAGUUACGCCGUCUGGACCAGGGCUUUUCUGACUAUCACAGUUCCAAAUUGCUUCCUUAAUUUCCUUUUCGUCAAAAGGAUCAGUUAAGAGUCUAUUGUCGGAUUCUGUUAUCUCCUCAAAAUCUACGUUAUCCAACCUCACGCCAAUGUCCUCAAUGGCCGACAUCUUUUUCUUGUAGAAUUCUUUCACCAUCUCCUUUACUGUAUUUGGCUCCUCCACCCAAUUACCUGAGUUAUGGCAAUGUAAACCUUUUUAUCUCGUUCCUUAAUCUCCUCCACUUAAUUGACACAUGGAAGUAUUUCGAGUUAGUGUCCCCCUGCUUGAUCCAAAGGUCUCUUGACUUUUGUUGUAAUAAAGAUUCAUUCCUCACAUUUAUAUCUUGUAAUUGGCUUAAGAGUUCUCUUCUUUCCCUAAUCUUUUCAUCAUUCAAUUCCUCUAUGUCAUCCUUCGUAUCCAACUCUUGUAUUUUCCUUAGAGUAUCAAGUUUUAACUUAUCAGUGUACCCAAAGACUUCUUUGUUCCAUCCUUUCAAGUCGCUCUUUAGCAUUUUCAAUUUCUCUUUUAUCAGUGUACCCAACAACUUCUUUGUUCCCUCCCAUUUUCUUUUGACAAAUAUUUCAAACUCCUUAUGGUCUUGCCAAAUAUAUAGGAACCUGAAUGGUUUUGGUCCCCAGUCAACCACAUUUGAUUUAAGCAGCAAUGCACAAUGGUUAGAAAUUUGUCUAUCCAAGACAUAUUGCUUACACCCUGGCCAAUGUUGCAGCCAUUCAAACGUAGUUAAAAUUCUGUCAAGCCUGCUCUUAGCUUUGCCAUUAGGUCUAUACUAAGUAAAUUUUCUUCCUAUGCAAGGUAUGUCCACCAUUUCCAGUUCAUCAAUAAAAUUAUUAAAACCUUGCAUUUCUCUCUUGUUACCACUCACUCGAUUUAUCCCUUUGCGUUCCCCUUCACUUCUUACAGAAUUGAAAUCCCCCAACAUGCACCAUAUUUUGCAAGGUUCAUUAUUUCUAAUCUGUUUUAAAUCUUCCCACAUAUGUAUUUUGUCUGGCAUAUUACACGAAGAAUACACAUUUACUAUGACUACAGGAAUAUUAUUCUCCUUAAAAAACCCGAAAAAAAUAUUGAACCGACUACUAAUUAUGCGGUUUGAACAAGUAAAGAACUUUUUGUGCCACAUCGUGAGAAUACCCCCUGCCCCAUUAGAUGGUUCGCUAUAGAUAUAGUCAAUUUCACUGUCUCCCCACAACUGACAACAUUUGUUGAAACUGAAAUUUACUGUUCUUACUUCUUGCAAACAUACCAUUCUGACACUUUCCUUUCUAAUGACAUCCUUAAUAUACCUCCACUUCACAGGGCUCCUGAACCCUCUUACGUUUAUUGAUAAAAUUUUCAUUUAUAACCCAUGUUUUCCCCUGCUUCUCUUUGUAAUUUUUGAUUCCUAUCCCUUUUUUCCAAAACUUCUAAGUUUAACAUAACGUUCCCUUCAACCCCACCCGUUGCUCCUAUUUGUUUACCCAAUUCCCAUAAUCUAAUCGUUUCUAAUGAACCGUGUUUUAGCCAAAAUAAGCGAUUGCAAUUAUUAAUAGCUAUGUCAGAAACUGAAUUGCUAAUUUGAGAUAAGACUGACCUUAAUUGCUUGCGUUCUACCCACUUGCUGUUUUUGCUUGAUUCUCCCACCCAGAAGACUCUUUUUUCCGUAGCAUCCACCUGCUUUAAGGGGUUUAGACCGUUGACUUGCGUUGUUUGGUUAAUCUUUCCUUCUGCCAAUUGUUGAAUCCCAUUCUUACUUUGCUCUUCGCAUCCUGUCUUCCUCUGCCCCAUGAACGGUAAGUAUGCAUCUCUUAUUCUAUCCGAUCUCAAAGCACUCCGAUUUUGGCUCCUAAAAUCGUUUUUUUCCGCCUCAACAGAACCUAUCUGUAGAUGUUUUUCGCCGUUCUCCCCCGCUGGUGCCGAAAGAAUAGAGUCUUCCACCCUCAGGAUUGAAAGAAUUGGGUCCUCCUCUCCCCCCUUCGUAGCACCCGACAAAGACGAUGCUUGAUGGGACAAAGGUCCUCCCUCUUUCUCUACCAUUUUCGGUAAACACGAUGAUAUACUCUUUCUUACCUUCGACACCGCAGUGGAAUUGGUUGAUGCCGUAAUGAAGUUCUCCUUACGAGGCUUCUCAAUGUGAGCGGUGACCUCUUUGUGCCAUGGGUACCCAGCUUGUUCAGAUUCGCCUAAAGAUUGUGAAAUUUCAGUGUCAAUCUCCCUCCCGCUAGAUCCCUUCCAUAACUUCUCUUCAUCCAUGCUUACCUUUGGGUCGUUUUUAUUAAAAAACACAUUGUGGUUACAAUCUCCACACCCCCCUUCUUUUGCCCGGUGAAUAAUUUGGUCCAUGUUGCUUUGGGCCAUCUUCGAAGGCCCAAUCCCCAUUGCCACGUCAGCCCUGUUUAGGACCGUUGGAAAAUCAAACCCUAGUUUUUCCUUUCCCCUGAAAUUGCCGCAAAUGGGUGCCGAAGUAGCUCCAUCGGAAUUUGCCAAAAAAGGCUUGAAACCUUGUAACUGUUCUAUUGGUUCAGAUUUCCGAUGAAGCUGUGCCGGCAUGGACUGAGCGUGACCCAUUUCCACCGUUGGUUCUUCGAAAUCGCAAUUCCCCGAUUGUCCUGAUGCAAGAGACGCUAAAGACUCCUCCUCUAUUUCGAUUCCCUCUGAUGUUUCAUCCCACUAACAUUGGCAAAGUUUGUGUUCUGGGACAGAGCAUUCUUCCUCCACCGAUAUCUGAUACAAAUUUUCAUUGAUUCUCAUGUAGUUGGUUAACUUUGCCUCACAUUCCACUGUUACUCUAAUUUUGAAUCUUGCAUACUCAAGUUCUUCCAGUGCCAGCGUUGCGUUAUCAACCUCCACAAGAGUUCCCAUUAAUGCUGCUAUGUGUUUGAAGCAGUCAGUAUUCCAUAAUUUCAACGGUAGCCCCCUACAUCUCACCCACACCAAUUUGUCCACCGCUACAAAUUGUUCUUCCCAUGGAAUGAUGGUGUCAAACAUUUCUUCAAACCAUACUUUAUUUUCUUCUAUCGCUUCAAGGAUCUUUGUUUCGUUUUCCCCCAUCAAUAGCACAUGGAACCCUCCCAAAAAUUUAACCUUUAUAUGACUGAGACCUUCCAAAAUAAAACAUUCAUUCAAACAUGAUACUUUGCUUAAAUCCGAGACUCUUCCAAUGUAGCACUUUUUUAGCCAAUCCCUUGGAGUUUCUUCUGCUCUAAAAUGAAUAGCCUGCACCCUUGACCUAUUCUGAGUUUGUUCACUAAUACUUUUACCAGUCUUAACAAUGUUUGCAUAUGUUUCUUUCUCUUUGGCCCUCCAUUCUUUUUUUGGUUCACUCUUUAUUUCUGAAACCUUCUCUUUCAACUUCAUAUUCCAUUCCUUUCUUGUUUCUGCUGGUCUAUUGUAUUUCGGCCUGUUAGCCUUCAGUUUCCAGCUUCCAAUCCAAAUUGUGUUCAGAUGAUUCUUUAGUUCCCUGACAUUCUGUACUCCCUGAAAUCUCACAAAACCAAACAUUUGCUUCUUAAUGUUCAACCUUCUUGAUAUGAAAAUAUCACUUACCCUUCCCCAUCUGCGGAAAAUCCUCCACAAAUCUGAUUCUUUGAUGUCGAAGGGAAAGUUGGAGAAGAAGAACGGAGUCCCUCCCGAAGUGUAGUCUGAGCUCAUGGAGGCAAAAGUCUGAUUUUGAUAUUAUUGAUCUUUUGUCAACAUGUAUAAUGCCACUCAACAUUAUUUCUAAGGUUAAUUAUGUGCGUUUAGUUAUGAAAGCCAUGUGGAGGGUAGGGUUUCAUAGCUGUUUUUGGGAAGCAUAUCAAAUCUAAUGUGGAUUGUGCGUUCGUAAAUGUGUAUGUUACGUGCAAUAUGAAAGAUAAAUUGGCUUUAUGGGAGAACCUCUCUUCUUUAAAAGCUACAACUCGGGAUCGAGCGUGUUGUCUCAUUAGUAAUUUUAAUGCGAUUAGAAAUCCUUUUGAGAGGAGAGUUAUUAUAGAAUGUGGCAGCCAAAAGUGUGAGAUCUUUGGUUUCAACGACUUCAUUGAAAGGAAUUUUUUGAUGCAAUUGCCUGUUGCGGGUAAGAAGUUUACGUGGUAUAAGGCAAAUGGGUAAGCUAAAAGAAGGAUUUACAAAGUUCUUGUUUCGGAUGAGUGGCUACAAAAGUGGCCUAUGGACAAACAAUAUAUCUUACCGAGGGAGGUCUCGGAUCAUUGUGCAAUUGUGGUUAAAUCAGUGGUGAGAGACUGGGGGUCGAAGCCUUUCAGGUCUUUAGAUGUGUGGUUGAAGGAGCCUGGGUUCAAGGAUAUGGUGAAGGAAAAAUAGAACUCUUGUCCUGGUCAAGGAAAUAGUAUGUUUGUGUUCAAAGUUAAAAUGAAGUGUCUGAAAGCAGAUCUUAAGAGGUGGAAUAGAGACUUGAUCGGGCACCUGGAAUCAGGAACAAUAUGGUUUUAAAGGAGAUUGAGGGGCUAGAUGGCCAAGAUGAAGAUGAUGCCCUACCUGAGAGUUUGAGGAUGAGGAGAGUAGCCCUCUUUAGUCAUGUAGAAGAGAUUAAUAAAAAACUUGAGUCUCUUUUCAGGCAGAAAGCUAGAAAUAAUUGGCUUGCGUUUGGGGAUUCUAACUCCAAGUUUUAUUAUUCUGUAAUCAGAUGGAGGAAGCUUAGGAAUGAGGUUAAGGGUGUUGAUAUGGGAGGUGUGUGGUGUGCGGAGCCUGAGGUUGUUCGUAGGGAGGCACUGAAGCUUUAUGAAGCUAGAUUUUCUGCUUCUCAAGAUUUUGGAGUCAGACUUGAUAACGUUGAGUUCAAGACCUUGUUUGUGGAGGUCAGUCUAAGUAUGGUAUCCAAAUUCUCUGAGGAAGAAGUUAAAAGUGCUAUUUGUUUGUGUGAGGGGUCAAAAAGCCCUGGUCCAGAUGACUUCAAUUCUAACUUUAUUAAGGGUAGAUGGGAAGUGUUGAAGCAUGAUAUUGUAGUUGUUGUUCACCUCUUUCAAGAGACGGGGGUGCAUCCCAAAAGGGUGUAAUGUGUCCUUCAUUACUUUUGUUCCUAAAGUGCAGGACCCUAUAAGUUUAGACCAAUACAGGUCAAUUUCUCUUAUGGGCUCGUUGUAUAAAAUUAUCACGAAGGUUUUAUCUUGUCGUAUCAAAAAAGUGUUACCUGAGGUUAUAGAUGAUUGCCAAACGACUUUUUUAAAGGACAGAGGGAUGCUAGAUAGCUGGGACGUGCUGAAGCAUGAUAUUGUAGUUGUUGUUCACCUCUUUCAGGAGACGGGGUGCAUCUCAAAAGGGUGUAAUGCGUCCUUCAUUACUCUUGUUCCUAAAAUGAAGGACCUUAUAAGUCUAGACCAAUACAGACCGGUUUUAUCGAUCGUAUUAAGAAAGUGUUACCUUUAACCACUACACCAAACAAAUUCUUUUGUCCUAUUAUGAAUUUUAUUAUAGUUAUUAUUAUUAUUAUUUUUAAUAUUGAUAUUAAUAUUAAUAUGAAUAUUAUCAUUAAUAUUAAUAUUGUUAUUAUUAAUAUUAAUAUUAAUAAAAAUAUUAAUAAUUUUAAUUUUAAUAUGAUUUAGAUGGAGACAAUCAAUAUGAAAUAUUAUUAUUGAUACUACUAUUUAUAUUUAUUUAUUUAUUUUUUAAUUUUUUAUAAUUUUAAUAUUAUAAUUUUAUUUAAUUAAAAAUCCGUAUGUAACGCUCACUUUACAUACGAAUCCAAAUCCGUAUGUAAAAUCUGUAUGUAAUGCUCACUUUACAUACGGAUGUAGAUUCGUAUGUAAAUAUCAAAUUUCUUGCAGUGUAUACCUAGGGUUAGAAGUUGGUGGUAACCCUAGAAGGAAAACGUUUUAAGAACCUAUUGUGAGUAACGUUAGUGUUAAGCUAAGUGUCUGGAAGGGGAUAAUCUUGUCGUUGACGGGUAGAAUCUGCUUGAUCAAGUGGGUUUUCACGUCCAUACCCCUGUUUUAUUUCUCCUUCUAUAAAGUUCCAAAAUUAGUGUGUGAUAAAAUUAUUAGCAUUCAGAGAAGCUUUUUGUGGGGAUAGGAAAGGAUAAAAUAUCUAUUGCGUGGGUGAGUUGGGACAAUCAUUGUAAACCUCGGGAGGAGUGAGGGAUUGGAAUUAAAGAUGUCAGAAUUUUCAAUGUGGCUCUCUUAGUAAAGUGGUAGUGGAGGCUCUUAAGUGAAGAAAAAGGAAGGUGGAAGGAUAUUUUUCUAUCUAAAUAUGACUCGCAAAUUGCCCAAAGUCAGUUAAAUGUGAAAUAUCACUCGUAUUGGUGGUGUGACUUAUCUAAAAGUAGUAGAGAGGGACAAGAUGGAGGUUGGUUUAAAGAAGUUGUACGGUGGAGAGUGGGUAGCGGGGACAAGGUCAGGUUCUGGGACGAUGCUUGGGCUGGUUGUACUCCUCUCAUCAAUACGUAUCGUAGGUUGUAUUUUGUGUCUAUGGAUAAGGGAAUGAUGGUGGCAGAUGUAGGGGAGUGGGAAGACUCUGUGUGGCACUGGGGGCUUAAGUGGAGAAGGGAUAGUUUCCAAUGGGAGACUACACAAGAAGAAGGGCUUCUAAGGCUCCUAGAAAGAGUCAAACUGCUUAAGGAGGUGAAGGAUAGGCAAGUAUGGGAUGGUGACGAAUCUGGAGAUUUUUCAGUAAAAAAAGCUUAUGCUCGUCUUGCAAAUCAUGGAAUUGGGCUUCAUCAGAAUGUAUUCAGGCUUUUUUUGUAUGUUUAAAGUUUUCCCAAAUAUCUUGACAACGACAUGGAGGGUAAUGGUGGAUCGUAUCCCAACAAGAGUUAAUCUCUCUAAGAGAGGGGUGGAGAUGUCUCACAUGAGUGUGUUAUGUGCCUAAUUGUAAACGAACCUUCACAACAUCUCUUCUUAAAGUGUAAGAUAGCUCAAGGGGUGUGUGGUCGUUGCUUUAGAUGGAUUGAUGUAUUGUUUGUCCAACAUGAUGACUUGAAGAAUCAUUUCGAGCAAUUCUGCUUACCACAAGGCUCAUUUUCUCAAAAUUUGGUGUGGAAAAGAAUGUGAAUGGUUGUGGUGUGGAGUAUCUAAACAAAGGAACCUUAUUAUCUUCAAGGAGGGAGUUGCAGAUGAGGAAGAAAUCUUCCAAAUGACGCAACUGAAGUGCUGGCUUUGGUUGAAAAGUAGAAUGCAUUCCUUUAUUUUUAUUUUUUCCUUUUCGGAAUGGUUGUUGAAUCCUAUUUUGUGUAUUAAGAACUAGAUGUGAAGUGUGUUUCUGAAAUCCUAGUGUUGUUAUGGAAGGGUGAGGUGUAUAAGUGGAUGAGAAGGAGUAGAUUUGUGGUAGGAGAGUUGUCUGAUGCAGGGAUUAUGUUGUCACCCACAAAAUGCCUAUGCUCUGUUGGUUCUGUUAUACCAGUCUAUGCAACUUUGUAGCAUAAUGCCACCACUCCCUGCUGGUUUUAUGUUGAUGUGCGCUAGCAGGGAUGAAGAUUAGUAGAGUUGUUGCCUCUGUGUUUUCAGUGUAGGUGAAGUUUUAAGGAGCUGUAGAAUUAGACAGCAGCUACAGAAAAUCAAUAGACAAAUUGUUCUUAGGUGGAGGAGAAAGAUGAAGAAGAGUGAGCUCUUAGUUAGGUGGAGGAUUCCUUGGGAAUGUAGAUAAGUGGAAGGGACCUUGGAAAACAGAUUAGGAGGAGGAAGCUGUAGAUACAGGGGAGGUUUUGUUUAUAUCAAAAGUUGCAGUUUUAUCUGUGAAGUUUCCUACAUAUUUGUGCAGUUCUAGUGCGUAGGAAAUUGCAACACACUUAGGCUUUUUCUGAAGCAUAAUUUUGUAGUAAGUUACCUUUCAUAAGGUUCAACAAGCAUUACAUAUAUCUUUUUCGGACAUUAUUGUCGGUCAGGCUGACGCAUGACUCAAAUUAUGCAUCAAUCAAGCUGACGCAAUAUUAUUAUUAUUUUCUUUUUUUUCACUUCCUCUUUUCGCAUCCCACAUGCGUCUGAAGGUCCACGAGAAAACGAUUUUGCAUUCACAUUGUGGGUUUGGUCGACACAAAUGACGUCCACGCUUGGUCGACGCAAAUAUAUGACAACUAAUGACGCAUUUUUUUGUAGUGAUAGGAUGUUUUCUUACUUAUCAUUUAUUGUUAAUUUGUCCUUUAAUGUGGUUGAUUGUCUGGUCGACCGGUAAAUGAUGUCGAGUGACGUGGUCAAUUUGACCUCAACUGGUACAUUUACAAUUUUGUUAAAAAAUUGAAAAUAAGGGUUAUUUUAAUAUAGAAACAACAUUUUUAUAAAGGUUAAAUUAAAGUGAUNNNNNNNNNNNNNNNNNNNNNNNNNNNNNNNNNNNNNNNNNNNNNNNNNNNNNNNNNNNNNNNNNNNNNNNNNNNNNNNNNNNNNNNNNNNNNNNNNNNNUUGGUGAUGGACACUACCACGUUAGUAUACUCCAACGUCUCAAACUCAAUGAGUUGGACAACUUGCUUUGCAUAUCUUGUGAACAAUUCAUCCAUGUUAUCUUGCCCAAACUCAACUGACAAAACAGGUUCAAAAACAGCUCUAAUGGACUUAACUAUGAACUCUCCUUUCAUUUUGCUAUCAAGGUUAGAAUCACCAACAUCCUCAUGAAGAUUUGCGUCCCAACCUAUCUUGAAAGUCCUCAAUGCUUGAAUGGUAAAAGACCCUUCUGCUUCAAUCACUUGUCUAACUUCUUCAGCAGUGGGACCAUAUAUAGGUAGAUCAAAGCAGUCUAACUUUUUCUCAUCAAGUAGAACCUACAAUCAUAAAGAAACCUUAUUUCCUAUUGCUAGCUUUCUAGUAGCAAGCACGAAAAAUCCACCACAGGGUUAACAUCCAAUACAACACAAUAUACAAAAUCAAUGAUAAAAUAAUAAAAUGCGACCUAGUUAUAAAACAACAUAUAAAUUAUUAUAAAAUUUAGUGUAAAUUAUAGUUUUAAAUCAAAUUGAGGAAUCACAAUUUAUUACAAAGUAGAUUUUAAGCCUAACUCAACUCCAUAAAACCGACUCAUGAGGUGAGGUUUGCAUCUACUUAUAUACAAUGACCUAAUCUCUAGUCGAUGUGGGAUCUCGUGUGUGGGAUAACAUAUUAUGGGUGAUCCGAUAACGGUCCGAUAGCGGGUGACACGAUAGACCUAACAAACACUCGCUAGGAUAAACUUUAAAUGGUUCUGAUACCAUUUUAUAAAGUGAACUUUAAACCUAACUCAAUCCCAUAAAACCAGCUCAUGAGGUGAGGUUUGCACCCACUUAUAUACAAUGAAAUGUCUUAAUCUCUAGUCGAUUGGAUCUCCAUCACAGUUUUCAAAGUGAACACUAGUCCCUUUUCGUUGUGGAUUUGUAAUGUGCGAUAUGAAAAUAAAAGGAAAAUAGUUAUAAAGCGCAGUUAGUGGUUUGUGAUAUUAUGUCUGAUACACAUACACAAUAAUGCAACAACUAUUUUGAUGUGUUGGUGCAGUGUUGGCCAAUCAUCUAUAAACCUAAUCGCUUACCUCUUGGACCAUAUCAUUGAGUACCAUUCCGAUUACCUCUGCAGGAUUACCAAUUUUAUGGGUUUCUCUACCAAUGAACGUGAGUAACAUGCUACCACCCGACCUUAGUUCCUCCGAGCGUGAUUUAAGAAAAAGUUUGAAAUCCUUUUCAAAUUGCUUUAAGUAUGCUUCAUAGACUGAAGCAGGGUUGGCACUUUUUAUGUAAACGUUUCCCUUGUUGAGUGGUUCAGCUAUGUUGGUCGAAGUUGGUGCCUGAUACCAUACAAAUUGAGACCAAAGAGUUAACUUGGGAAUUGUAAAGCCAAAUAUAAAAUGUAGCAAUCUAUGACUUUAAAUGCUUGAGCCAGCACUUUUCUUUGCAAGUAAUUUGUAUCCAUAACAUAAUGGUAGGAAAAGCUUGGUUAAUUUGGUGGAAUUGACCUGAGAUAGCCAAUGCAGACUGUAGGAGGAAUGAAAGAAGUGGAUGUAAUCAUCAGGAAAAAGCUUUCCAUAGAAGUUUCCGGGUGUUGCAUGAAUAAAGAAUCUUCCAUGAUUCUGGUUUUUCUCUGUGUAUUCUUUCUAAGAAGUCAAGGAUCAACUUGAAGAAGCUGUUGAAGUCAUUUCCAAAUAGAUCAUCCAUGUAAAUUUGCAAUACACGAGGUGUACAUUGGAGGGACUGGGAUGGAUCAAGUCACGCUUCAGCGUUUUGUAGCGAUUCUUAAUUGUGAUACGAUGGCUUCUCUGUUCAUAUACUUGGGAAUGCCAGUUGGUGGGAGUCAUAAGUGCGGUGCUUUUUGGAAUGGGGUGAUUGAGAAAGUUUAGGCCAGAUUAAGUAGGUGGAAGGGAAGAUGUUUGUCGAUGGCUGGAAGGAUAUGCCUGAUCCGGUCUGUACUUUCGUCUAUUCCGUUAUUCUUUAUGUCGCUUUUCAAAUUGCCUUCUGGGGUGGCUGAGAAGUUGGUUAAGAUACAAAGAAAUUUUCUCUGGGGUUGGGGUGCAGAUGGAAGGAAGAUCGCUUGGGCUUCAUGGAACUUGGCUUGUAAGCCUCGUGAGUUCGGGGGGUUAGGUAUUAUAGAUCCAAAGUUGUUCAACUUGACUUUGUUGGGAAAGUGGAUUUGGAGGUUGGGUUCGGACGAGGGAGGCCUUUGGAAGGAAGUUCUCAUUUCUAAAUAUGGUGGGUGGAGAUUUAUGGGAGAGGGAGGUAAAGGCAGGAGUUGUUCUCUUUGGAGGAAGGAUUUGAAAGAGGUUUGGUCUUCAGAGAGCUGGGGGAGAAGUUUCGAAGACAGUUUUGAGUGGAAAGUAGGCGACGAAAAGGAUAUUUAUUUCUGGAAGGAUAGGUGGCUGAAGGGCGAGGCACUGAAGAACGUUUUUCCAAGACUAUUUUCGAUUAGCUCUAACAAAAACGCAAAUUUGUUGGAGUGUGGUUUUUGGUCUAAUGGAAGAUGGGUUUGGCAACUAGCUUGGAGAAGAUUUUUCUUCGAAUGGGAGAACCCGAUGGCGGAUCAGAUGAGCCAACUGCUGCUUGGGGCUGGGGCUGCCCCAAGAGAGGUUGAUAGUUGGAUUUGGAAGGAGGGGGGUCUCCAAACUUUUACAGUUAGUUUUGCUUACAACCUUGUCAGGAAGGACAAUGAGGUGGAUGCUUCGCCGAUUUUUAGCAAGUUAUGGAGGAGCAAGGCAGUUCCUUCUGCUUUGCUUUUGGCUUGGAGGGUGUUGGAAAACGAGCUUGCUACUAGGAUAAAUCUUAGAAGAAGAGAGGUGCAGUUAGAAAGUUUGAGGUGCGUUUUGUGUGGGAAGGAGGAAGAGUCCUGUAGUCAUUUAUUCUUCGGGUGCAGUUUUGCGUGGCGAGUUUGGAGUUUAUGUUACAGGUGGAUUGGGGUCUUGUUUGUGUCUCAUAUAGAGCUGAGGUUUAACUUCGAUCAAUUUAGGUUGAAUAUACCUUCUGAGUCGGUUCGUACUAUAUGGGACACAAUCUGGGUUGGGGUGGUUAGUGAAAUCUGGAGUCACAGGAAUCGCAUAAUUUUCAAAGGAGGAGUGGUUGAAGCGUUUGAAGUUUUUGCAUUGGUACAAGUUAAAGUUUGGUACUGGGUCACUACAAAGUCUCGGGGCGUUGCUUUCUCCUUUUCUGACUGGUGUCUAGAACCAUUGGUGUGUAUGAGGUUAGUUUCCUGAAGUUUGUUUGUAGGAUUAGUAAGGGCGAGGCUUUGUUUAGUUAGUUUUGGUGGUCUUUCGCGGGUUUGGUGUUGAGUUUUAUGUGUAUAAGGGUUGAACCACCCCUGAAGUAGUUCCAUUUUAUUUAUUUAUUUUGCCGAUCAAAAAACUCUGGUUUAAGCUCAAGCUAGCCUUAUCCAUUAGGGUUACCAUAGUUGACACAAAUAAGAGUGAAUUUGGCUCCAUUAGGGUUACCAUAGUUGACACAAAUAAGAGUGAAUUUGGACCCGAAGAGCAUCCCAAAUCAGCUACUUUCAAACAGCUUUCUGAAGUUAUGUUUGACAUCAACAGUUUUACAUUAUCUUCAAGUAUAGGUUUCACUAUGCUUCCCACUUCUCUCUACACCAAAUUUAAUUUGGGUCACCAUCUAAUAAUAUAUAUAUAUAUAUAUAUCAUUGUCAUAAACUCUUUUCUUUUUAGCAUAUUUGCAAGUACAAAAAAGAAAACCCUCUUUGUAUUUUAUAUGCGUUUUGUUUUAAUAAAAAUAUAUAAACUAUUUUAAUUAAUAAACUAAUUGUUUUAAAAAAAACUAUUACACAUUUGCACAUGAUAUCAAUAUGAAACACACUAACAAUGGCCGGCGACAAAACUUUUUGUGUUAUGGGACCUAUAUCUUUCAUUUUCUUUUGGUUUUUAGUAGUCACUUGUCUUUUAUGAUUGAACUUUCAAAGAUAUGGGAUAUUAUUUUAGUAGGGGCAAGUUUAACACUUUUUUUUCUCACAAUAGCAAAACUUAGUUCAUAUUUAUUAGAGGCCCAUUAUAAUUUUAAAAAAGUUAUACACAACUAACUCGAAAUUUUAGAAGAGGCUUGAAUCUAUGUUUUUUCUAUAAUUGUGUAUUAUUUUAUUAAUUUUACUUUUCAUCUAUCCAACUAUAAAUUUUCCCACGCUUUUGUUUUUAAAUUAAACAAUUUUAAUUGACUCUCAACAAUUUUAAAUCCCAUUCAAUAUUAUUUUCAAGGUUAAUUAAAGUUUUAUAAGCCGAAGACGUGUUAACCACAAUGGUAAUUGUCCUAGCCACGGUGCUAUCAGAGAAGGUCGUUCUCAACUCGAUGUACCCUCAUACCUUCACCUGAUCUCUCGCGAAGCGUUAAAAUAUGUUGCAUUACAACUUUAAUUUAAAAAAUUAAAAAUUGUUACAUACGGAUUCGUAUGUAACUCUGUUUUACAUACGGAUAUUUGGUCUUACAUACGGAUUUUGGUUGUAUGUAAUUGGAGAUUUUCUUGUAGUGAUAUCCUUCAACAACUGAAGCAAUUUCAUUAAGUUUUUAUCAAUCCAUCCAUUUAUUGCCUUCUAAUUCAUUAAUCUUAACACCGUCGACAACUGUGUGAAGUUAGUUGAUCCAGGAUACAAUGGAGUCUCUGCAUCGCUUGACAUAAUUCCAUAUCCAUGCGCUUCUACAAAAGACUCAGUUUCCACAUCACGAAUCAUGUCCUACAAUCGAUCAUCAUGUACAUUAUCAUGUAUUGCAUCAUCCAUGGUGGAUCCCACAUAUUCUUCAGUUACAAAAACAUGUGGUAAAUUUAAUAAUUCACCAUGUCAUGUCCAAGUUGUAUAAGAUCGAAGAAACUCAUCCCAUAGAAUGUGUUCCCUAAUUAUCUUCAAUUCAAAUAGUUAACACACGGACACUUGUUCUUUGCUCCAUCAUGACCAUUAUUAUUCAUGUGACGUUAUGCAAAAAGUAUAAAUUCUUUUACUUCUCUUUUGUACUCAUCACUUAUGCGAACAAAAUUAAUCCAAUUUCGAUCAAUUAUAUCCUGUAAUAGUCAUUCAGCUGUUUAAUAAUGAGUGUUCUAUCUCACACAUUUGCUGAGGGUCAAACACCCUCGGACUCAAUACCAACACGAUAAUUCUAUUCUAAACUAACAACUAACAUAAUAUAAAUUAAUAAUAAAUACAAAUUAUACUAAAUACAAAAUAUUAUAAAUUUUAAAAAAUAAAAAUUAUAAUAAAGAAAAAAUAAACAAAUUCAUAACAUUAAAAAAAUUCAAACAAAUUUAAAACACCACCAACCUUGUGCGUGAAGGCAACGUUGGUGAAGAGUGGCAAGAGACUGGCGACAGCAGACGCGACAACGGACGUGGCAGCAGCGCCGGAACAAAGCAAAAACUCACACAAGUAGCUACGAAGGCAAUGAAACAGUACUUCGAGAAAUGCAAGAAAACAAACAAAGUAAGAGAAACAAUUUUUUUUUAUAAAUCAUUGGAGAAGAAGAAAGAGAGCUCCAACGAACUUACAAUGGCACGACAACACAAUGAAGCUCGCAAAAGAAAAGCGAAACACCAGAGUAGAAAUAGAGAGCAAACACGAAGCGCAAAGAAGGGAAAGAAAGUAUGAAAGUGUAAGUGGCGCGCUUCACAGUUAGGGUAAAAAAUAAUUUAAGAAUGCGACUAUUAAAUAGCCGUAUUCUUAAAUCAUGCGCUUUGAUAUAAGAAUGCGGCUAUAGGUAAAGCCGCAUUCUUAAAUCAAACGCUUGAAUUUAAGAAUGCGACUAUUACGAAUAGCCGAAUUCUUAAAUCAAAGAGUAUGAUUUAAGAAUGUUGUUAUUAAAAAUAGCUAUAUUCGUAAAUGAAGUUAAUUUAAAAAAUGCCAUCGUGAUUUGAAUGACGGUGUCUAACCAUAAAAAUGCAUUAAGUAAAUAGUCGUUAUUUUUACAUUUUGCACUAGUGACAUUAUAACCCAAUAAUGCUCAACACUCAAUUUAUGCUUGCUAAAGUAAGAAAUUUAUGUAAUUUAGUUCUUAUUGUUUGUUGCUUCACAUAUUUUGUCAAUAAAAUUUCUUUUUUCUCUUAGUUAUUGCUAUUUAUUGUAAUUAUUUUUUCAAAAACUUUAUGAGAUAGUUAUUGAAUUAAAAUCAUUAAUUAGUUGUUUAUUUUAAAUUUGUUGAUUAAAUAAUAUAAUGAGCUUUAAAGUACAAAUGGAACCUACACACAUAUGACUAUAUUGGUAAUUACAUUUGUACAAUUAUAUUAUUUAUUUUUUUGAAUAGUUUAAAUCUUACCUGUUGCAUUAUUAAAAUGUGUUGACUUUCCUAAUAUGUGCAUUACAAGAAAUAUUGAUAUUAACCUCCCAAAAAGCUACACAAAAAUUAAAAAGAAGACACUAAACGAUAAUUAGAAUAAGUAAUUUAGUGUCUUUUUUAAUCUUUGUGUGAGUUUUUUUUUAUGCUAACAACAAUAGUUUUUUAAAUGGUGGUCAACACUUUAAAUUUGAUAGUUACAUUAAAUAAGUAUAUUUAUAAUUAUGUUUUGAAUUAUUAUUGUUAUAUCUAAUUUGUACUUUUAUUUUUUUCUUUUUUAUAUAUAUUAUUAUUUAUUAUUUAUUGUUACAUCUAAUUUUUAAUUUGUUUCUUUAUUUAUUAUAGAUAUACUUGCAAAAAUAAUGUUGCAUAGUAAUCUAUUUUAUUUUUUAAUAUUAUAAUUUUUUCUUAUUAUAAAAUUUUAUUAUUAUAAUUCAUUGUUUUAUAAAAUACCCGCGGGUUUUAAAAAAGUAAAAAUAUUUAAAUAUACCCAUGUGUCGGUCUAGCCGACGUAUCAAUUAAAUAUAUAUUUUCUAAACAUUAUUGUUGGUCAAGCUAACGCAUCAAUUAAAUAUAUCUUUUCUGGAUAUUAUUGUCGGCUAGACCGAUGCACGACUCAAAUUAUGCGUCAAUCUAGCUUAUACAAUAUUAUUAUUAUUAUUAUUAUUAUUAUUAUUAUUAUUAUUAUUAUUAUUAUUAUUAUUAUUAUUAUUAUUAUUAUUUCACUUCUUCUUUGCUCGUCUCACAUGCGUUGUAAGGCCCACGAGAAAAUGAUUUUGUGUUCGCAUUGUGUGGGUUUGGUCAACACAAAUGACGUCCACGCUUGGUCGACGCAAAUAUAUGGCAACUAAUGACGUGUUUUCUUGUAGUGAUAAGAUGUUUUCUUACUAAUAAUUUAUUGUUAGUUUGUCCCUUAAUGUGGUUGAUUACUUAGUCAGUCGGUGAAUGAUGUCGAGUGACGUGACCAAUUUAACCUGAACUGGUGUAUUUACAAUUUUGUUAAAAAGUUAAAAGUAAGGGUUAUUUUAAUUUGGAAACAGCAUUUUUAUAAAGGUUAAAUUAAAGUGAUCAAUAAAGAGAAAAAGUAUAAAUAUUAUCAAUGUAUGAAUUACAAAAUGAUACUAAACAUUAUUUAUCUUUGGGUAAACCAUCCGUGUAAAUUUGAGCUUUAUCAAGUCUAAUACACUAUUGAAAUCAAAAUAGAUACUAUAUAGAACCGAAUAUAUAUAUAUAUAUAUAAGAAUCCAAAAUGACAAGGCCACUAAACUAGCAUAAUCGAAGUAUAUAUAUAUUCAAGAAACUUUGGUGAUGGACACUACCACGUUAGUAUACUCCAACGUCUCAAACUCAAUGAGUUGGACAACUUGGUUUGCAAAUCUGGUGAACAAUUCAUCCAUGUUAUCUUGCCCAAACUCAACUGACAAAACAGGUUCAAAAACAGCUCUAAUGGACUUAACUAUGAACUCUCCUUUCAUUUUGCUAUCAAGGUUAGAAUCACCAACAUCCUCAUGAAGAUUUGCGUUCCAACCUAUGUUGAAAGUCCUCAAAGUUUGAAGGGUAAAAGAUCCUUCUGCUUCAAUCACUUGUCUAACUUCUUCAGCAGUGGGACAAUAUAUAGGUAGAUCAAAGUAGUCUAACUUUUUCUCAUCAAGUAGACCCUACAAUCAUAAAGAGCAAAUAAAACAACCUUAUUUCGUACAAAUAAUACAACUACUAUUUUGAUGUGUUGGUGCAGUGUUGGCCAAUCAUCUAUAAACCUUAUCGCUUACCUCUUGGACCAUGUCAUUGAGUACCAUUCCGAUUACCUCUGUAGGAUGACCAAUUUUAUAUGUUUCAUCUCUACCCAUGAACGUGAGUAACAUGCUACCACCCGACCUUAGUUCCUCCGAGCGUGAUUUAAGAAAAAGUUUGAAAUCCUUUUCAAAUUGCUUCAAGUAUGCUUCAUAGACUGAAGGAGGGUUGGCACUUGUUAUAUAAACGUUUCCCUUGUUGAGUGGUUCAGCUAUGUUGGUCGAAGUUGGUGCCUGAUACCAUACAAAUUGAGACCAAAGAGUUAACUUGGGAAUUGUAAAGCCAAAUAUAAAAUGUAGCAAUCUAUGACUUUAAAUGCUUGAGCCAGCACUUUUCUUUGCAAGUAAUUUGUAUCCAUAACAUAAUGGUAGGAAAAGCUUGGUUAAUUUGGUGGAAUUGACCUGAGAUAGCCAAUGCAGACUGUAGGAGGAAUGAAAGAAGUGGAUGUAAUCAUCAGGAAAAAGCCUUCCAUAGAAGUUUCCGGGUGUUGCAUGAAUAAAGCAUCUUCCAUGAUUCUGGUUUUUCUCUUUGUGUAUUCUUUCUAAGAAGUCAGGGAUCAACUUGAAGAAGCUGUUGAAGUCAUUUCCAAAUAGAUCAUUCAUGUAAAUUUGCAAUACACGAGGCCUACUUUGGUUUAAGCUCAAGCUAGCCUUAUCCAUUAGGCUUACCAUAGUUGACACAAAUAAGAGUGAAUUUGGCCCCGAAGAGCAUCCCAAAUCAGCAACUUUCCAACAGCUUUCUGAAGUUAUGUUUGACAUCAACAGUUUUACAUUAUCUUCAAGUAUAGGUUUCACUAUGCUUCCCACUUUUCUCUACACCAAAUUUAAUUUGGGUCACCAUCUAAUAGUUUAUAUAUAUCAUUGUCAUAAACUCUUUUCUUUUUAGCAUAUUUGCAAGUAAAAAAAAAAAAAACUCUAUGUAUUUUAUAUGCGUUUUGUUUUCUAAAGCGGAAAAGAGAUGAUACCUGAAGUAAGGAGUUUCUGGUAUAGCUGGUUUCUCCCUCACCACCCUUCAUGUGAAGUACUCUCUCAGUUGCCAUUAUGUAAUGAAUGGUAACUCAACAAUACCAAUGCCAAACAAUUAUGUAAGGCUACGGGAAGUGUCAACAUUUAUAUACACACUUUAUUGUUAGAAUGAGUGUGGUCCCAUUUUCUUAUUCUACUAUACUUAUCCUAGGAAACAAACACAAAAACUAUAAAGAAGAUGACCAAACAAGACCACAAAAGUUGUAGACUUUUUUCUCUUUGGAUUUUUCUUUUCUUUUUUUACAUUUUGUAAGAGUCCUAAAGUCUUCUUGACUUAAAGAAGUUCUUUCUUCAACUCCUUAGCUUUGCUGCUUAUAAAGCUCCUUUGAAAGCCUCUUCGAUGACCUGUAUUCUUUUCCUUUCCUUUAACUUUCCUUGUUUCUUGUGAUGACUCCAUCUUGUGUUAGUAUAUUUUGAACCAUGAUCUCCUCAUUAUACAAUUAUACUAUAAUCUGCAACAGCUUAAUGAUUAUAGACCAAUUUCGUUGGUUGAGUGUGUAUAAAACGGUUUCGAAGAUUUUGACUAUUAGGUUGAAAAAAGUCAUCAGUAAAGUUAUCGACGUUAGGCAAUCUGUCUUUCUUGAAGGAAUGGGGUUAUUGGAUAGUAUUUUGGUAGCCAAUGAAGCCUUAGAAGAGUUGAAGAGGAAGAAGAAAAGUUGUGUGUUUUUCAAGGUGGAUUAUGAGAAGGCUUACAACUCUGUGAGGUGGGAUUUUAUAUAUUAUAUGCUAGGAAGGCUUGGCUUUUGCGAAAAGUGGAUUUCUUGGAUUAAAGCUUGUUUGGAAUCAGCAUCGAUGUCAAUUCUCGUAAACAGGAGUCCUACUAAGGAAUUUUUUCCGAAGAAAGGGUUGAGACAAGGUGAUCUGUUAGCUCCAUUCUUGUUUCUUAUAGCGACUGAAGGGUUAGCCGAGGUAUCUAGGACCGUGGUUGAGAAAAACUUGAUUGAGAGCUUGGAGAUUGGGAAUAAAUCGGUAAAAGUAAAUAUGCUCUAGGAUGCUGAUGACAUUUUGUUCUUUUGUAAGGCAAAGAGCAAAAGUGUAUUUAAUAUAAAGGUUAUGUUGAACUGUUUUGAGUUGGCAUCUGGUCUUAAGGUGAAUUUCUCCAAGAGUAGAAUUGGUGGGAUUGGGGUGGAGCAGACGAAGAUUCUCCACUUUGCAACUAUUUUAAAUUGUGAGGUGAUGAGAAUUCCUUUUAAAUAUUUGGGGAUGCCUGUAGGGGGGUGUCAUAAGAGGAGUGAGUUCUGGGAUGAAGUGGUUAAUAGGGUAAAGAAAGGGCUAGGUAGGUGGAAAGGAAGAUUUAUCUCGAUGGCAGGGAGGAUAUGCUUAAUUAAGUUUGUCUUGUUGUCAAUACCUUUGUUCUAUCUUUCUCUGUUCAAGAUACCGUCUAUUGUUUUAAAGAAGAUUGUGAGUCUGCAGAGGGAUUUUUUGUGGGGUUGGGGGUCAGAUGGAAGGAAGGUUGCAUGGGUGGCAUGGGGUAAGAUUUGUAAAUCCAAGGAUGCAGGAGGGCUCGACAUUAUUAAUAUCAGGCAAUUUAAUUUGGCGUUGUUGGAAAAAUGGGUUUGGCGCCUAAACACGGAAACGGGGGGUUGUGGAGGGAGGUAUUGGAUUCUAAGUGUGGAGGAUGGAGAGGUUUGAAGGAGCAACGAGAUAUUAAUAGUAAGGUCUCUCUGUGGUGGAGAGAUUUAAGGAAGGUCUGGAGGUCUGAAUAAAUGAGGAGGGAAGUUUGAAGAUCGUUUGUCUUUGGAGGUCGGUAACGGGAGAGAGGUUAUGUUUUGGUCAGACAAUUGGAUAGACUCAGAAGACUUGAAAAGCAUAUUUCCAAGGUUAUUUUCUUUGUCUGUUAAUAAGGAGGCAAAAUUAUGUGAUUGCGGAAUAUGGGGGAACAGGUCCUGGGAGUGGAAAUUAAGGUGGAGAAGGGGUUUGUUUGCUUGGGAAGAGGAGCAAGAAAGUCAACUCUUAGAGUUGAUCUCUAAUAAGAUGCUCGAGAUGGAAACAAUGGAUAGAUGGGUAUGGAAGGAUAGUGAGUCAACAGAGUUUUCAGUUAAGUCCGCUUAUGUUUUUUUAAGGGGAGAAGGAAGUGAGGAAGUCUCAAGAAGAUAUAAUUUUUUAUGGAAAAUUAAGGCGCUUCCCUCAGCUCAUGUCACAUCUUGGAGAGUGAUGAAAAACAAGGUUGCUUGUAAGGUUAAUCUGGAGAGAAGAGGAAUCGAGAUUGAGAGUAAUAUGUGUUGCUUGUGUAGGAGGUCUGAGGAGUCAACAAAUAAUUUGUUUUGCGAAUGCAGAGUUGCUUGGUUAAUUUAGAAUCAUUUUUAUGAAUGGUUAGGAGUAAGAUCAGUCGAUUUUAUGGAUCCUAGGUCUCAUUUUGAACAUUUCAAGAUUCUAGAUGCACCCACUUCAGUUAAUCUUAUUCUGGGCAAUGUGUGGAUUGCAUUGAUUAGUGAGAUAUGGAGGCAUAGGAACAACUGUUUAUUUAAAGGUGGAGUGGUUGAUCACAUUGAAGUGUUCUCUCUAGCACAGAUUAAGGUUUGGUCAUGGAUCUCUUCAAAGAUACCGUCAGCUAAUUUCUCAUUCUCUGAUUGGUGUCUUGAACCAUUGGUUUGUAUGCAUUCAAUUUAGUUUGUUAUAAGGAUUGAUCCUUGUUAUUCUUUGUUAUUUUGGUAGAGAUGGGUUAGAUUGUAGGAGGUCUUGUUGGCUUAUAUGAAGUUGGAAAGGUAAUCUGUGAACAUCAUUUUACUAUAUAAGGGUUAGAGCAUCCUAAAGUGGUCCCAUUUAAUUUCAUUACUAUUUGCUGAAGAAAAAAAACCAGCUAUACUAUAAGUGACUCACGUAAAACAUACCUAAAGUGACAAAAAAGAUACAUGAAUAGUGUUUCUCAUUACUAAAUUGGAAAGCCAAUUAGAUGAUUUCACCAGAUUUUUCAAGUCUUAUACACACUAAGAGAUCAAACUAAGUUUUCACGUUCCUAUCCAUAGUAAGUUUAACCUUCUUUACAGCACUUCUGCAUUAAUCACUUUUUGAAAUUUGACAAAAUCAAACCUUUUUUUUUUUUUUACUUUUAAUCUCUUUGAAAUAAAAAUAUCCUUGAUUCUUCUCCUCCUCUGAAAAAUUAUCACAUACCUCUUUCGUCAUGGUCAUUUGAAAAAUUGGAAAAGAAGAAGCUAACCUUCAUUGCCUCAGUCUUAAGCAAAACAGUAAAAAGAAAGAAAAACACUAAAGACUAAAGGAAUAUCAAGACUAUAUAAAAAAGUUAAGAGGGAUUUAACUUAAGUGCAUAACUUUAAACAUACCUAAUCCUUUAAAAUAAUUUUAAAUUUACAAUUUGAAUACACAUAAUAUUUUUAAUUAUCUAUAUAUAACAGACGAAUACAUUAAAAAGUUAUAACAAUAUAAAAAAUAUAUAAAUUAGAAUUUCAAUAUCUGUUAAGAUACAAAAUAUUUUACUUGUACUUGCACAGCAGAGUGUUUUUCUUUGUUCUUCGUUUGGGAUAUAGUGUUAUAUUUGUUUACAAUAGUUAAAGUAAUAUAAAAAAAUUAUAAAUUAUCUUCGUUUCAGCAAUGUAAGUCAGGAUAACACAGAACAAUUUAGAAUUUCUCAAACUCGUGUUCAUGACAAACCUUUUCUGCUGGAAAGAAAAAGAAAAGAUCUUUUAGUAAAAGAAAAGAAAAGUACUACUUAUCUUUACUAAAACAAUUGAAAAACUAUGGAUAUAAGUUUAUUAUUCGGUGUUAGAUUGUAUUUUUGAAGGUAAAUCUUUUAACAAAAAAAUUUCGUUUCUCUGUACAAGGUAAAAUUAUUUUAUAAAUAAAUUAAAAAUUAUAUUUUACAAAAUUAAUAAAAAUAUAUAAACUAUUUUAAUUAAUAAACUAAUUGUUUUAAAAAAAAAACUUUUACACAUUUGCACAUGAUAUCAAUAUGAAACACACUAACAAUGGCCACCGACAAAACUUUUUGUGUUAUGGGACCUAUAUCUUUCAUUUUCUUUUGGUUUUUAGUAGUCACUUGUCUUUUAUGAUUGAACUUUCAAAGAUAUGGGAUAUUAUUUUAGUAUGGGCAAGUUUAACACUUUUUUUUUCUCACAAUAGCAAAACUUAGUUCAUAUUUAUUAGAGGCCCAUUAUAAUUUUAAAAAAGUUAUACACAACUAACUCGAAAUUUUAGAAGAGGCUUGAAUCUAUGUUUUUUCUAUAAUUGUGUUUAAUUUUAUUAAUUUUAGGUUUUAUCUAUCCAACUAUAAAUUUUCCCACGCUUUUGUUUUUAAAUUAAACAAUUUUCAUUGACUCUCAACAAUUUUAAAUCCCAUUCAAUAUUAUUUUCAAGGUUAAUUAAAGUUUUAUAAGCUGAAGACGCGUUAACCACAAUGGUAAUUGUCUUAGCCACGGUGCUAUCAGAGAAGGUCGUUCUCAACUCGAUGUACCCUCGUACCUCUACCUGAUCUCUCGCGAAGCGUUAAAAUUUGUUGCAUUACAACUUUAAUGUUAAAAAAAAAAAAAUUGUUACAUACGAAUUCGUAUGUAACUCUGUUUUACAUACAAAUAUUUAGUCUUACAUAUGGAUUUUGGCUGCAUGUAAUUGCAGAUUUUCUUGUAGUGAUAACGUUCAACAACUAAAGCAAUUUCGUUAAGUUUUUAUUAGUGCAUCCAUUUAUUGCCUUAUAAUUCAUCAAUCUUAAUAUCGUCGACAACUGUGUGAAGUUAGUUGAUCCAGGAUACAAUGGAGUCUCUGAAUCGCUUGACAUACUUCCAUAUCCAUGAGCUUCUACAAAAGACUUAGUUUCCACAUCACGAAUCAUGUCCUCCUAUCGAUCAUCACGUACAUUAUCAUGUAUUGCAUCAUCCAUGGUGGACCCCACAUAUUCUUCAGUUACAAAAACAUGUGGUAAAUUUAAUAAUUCACCAUGCCAUGUCCAAGUUGUAUAAGAUCGAAGAAACCUAUCUCAUAGAAGGUAUUCCUUGAUUAACUUAACAUCUAGUAUCUGUCCAUUCAAAUAGUUAAUACAUUGACACUUGAUCUUUGCUCCAUCAUGACCAUUAUUAUUCACGUUACGUUGCGCAAAAAGUAUAAAUUCUUUUACUCCUCUUUUGUACUCAUCACUUAUGCGAACAAAAUUAAUCCAAUUUCGGUCCAUUAUACCCUGUAAUAGUCAUUUAGGUGUUUUCUAAUGAGUGUUUUAUCUCACACGUUUGCUGAGGGUCGAACACCAUCGGACUCAAUACCAACACAAUAAUUCUAUUCUAAACUAACAACUAACAUAAUAUAAAUUAAUAAUAAAUACAAAAUAAUAUAAAUUUUAAAAAUAAACAAAUUCAUAACAUUAAAAAAAUUCAAAAAUAAUUUAAAACACCACCAACCUUGUGCGUGAAGGCAAUGUUGGUGAAGAGUGGCAGGGGACCGACGACAGCAGAUGCGACAACGGACAUGGCAGCAGCGACGGAGCAAAGCAAAAACCCACACAAAUAGCUACAAAGGCAAUGAAACAGUACUUCGAGCAAUGCAAGAAAACAAACAAAGUAAGAGAAAUGAUUUUUUUUAAAUCAUUGGAGAAGAAGAAAGAGAGUUCCAACGAACUUACAAUGGCACGAAAACACAAUGAAGCUCGCAAAAGAAAAGCGAAACACCAGAGUAGAAACAGAGAGCAAAUACGAAGCGCAAAGAAGAGAAAGAAAGUAUGGAAGCAUAAGUGGUGCGCUUCAGAGUUAGGGUAAAAAAUAAUUUAAGAAUGCAGCUAAUUGUAAUAGUUGCAUUCUUAAAUCACGCGCUUUGAUAAAAGAAUGCAGCUAUAGGUAAAGCCGCAUUCAUAAAUCAAGCGCUUUGAUUUAAGAAUGCGACUGUUAGGAAUAACCGAAUUCUUAAAUCAAAGCGUAUGAUUUAAGAAUGUUGUUAUUACAAAUAGUUGUAUUCGUAAAUGAAGUUAAUUUAAAAAAUGCCACCGUGAUUUGAAUGACGACGUCUAACCGUAAAAAUACAUUAAGUAAAUAGUCGUUAUUUUUACAUUUUUCACUAGUGACAUUAUAACUCAAUAGUGCUCAACACUCAAUUUAUGCUUGCUAAAGUAAGAAAUUUAUGUAAUUCAGUUCCUAUUGUUUGUUGCUUGACAUGUUUUGUCAAUAAAAUUUCUUUUUUCUCUUAUUUAUUGCUACUUAUGGUAAUUCUUUUUUCAAAAACAUUUUGUGAUAGUUAUUGAAUUAAAAUCGUUAAUCAGUUGUUUAUUUUAAAUUUGUUGAUUAAAUAAUAUAAUGAGUUUUAAAGUACAAAUGGAACAUACACACAUGACUAUAUUGGUAAUUACAUGUACAACGAUAUUUAUUUUUUUUGGAAUAGUUUAAAUCUUACAUGUUGACUUAUUAAAAUAUGUUGACUUUCCUAAUAUGUGCAUUACAAGAAAUAUUGAUAUUAGCCUCCCAAAAAAUCCACACAAAGAUUAAAAAAGAGACACUAAAUGAUAAUUAGAAUGAGUUUAGUGUCUCUUUUAAUCUUUGUGAGUUUUUGGGAGGCUAACAACAAUAAUUUUUGUAAUGGUGGUCAACACUUUAAAUUUGAUAGUUACAUUAAAUAAGUAUAUUUUUAAUUAUGUUUUGAAUUAUUAUUGUUAUAUCUCAUUUGUACUUUUAUUUUUUUCUUUUUUAUAUAUAUUAUUAUUUAUUAUUUAUUGUUACAUCUAAUUUUUAAUUUGUUUCUUUAUUUAUUAUAGAUAUACUUAAAAAAAUAAUGUUGCAUAGUAAUCUAUUUUAUUUUUUAAUAUUAUAAUUUUUUCUUAUUAUAAUAUUUUAUUAUUAUAAUUCAUUGUUUUAUAGAAUACCCGCGUGCUAGUAAAAAUAUACUUACAAUAAACUAUUUAAAAUUAAAAUAUUUAUUACAGCAUUAUAAAUUAAAAAUAAAUAAAUCUUUAGAAAAAGUAAAAAUAUUUAAAUAUACCCAUGUGUCGGUCCAGCCAACGUAUCAAUUAAAUAUAUAUUUUCUAAACAUUAUUGUUAGUCAAGCUGACGCACGACUCAAAUUAUGCGUCAAUCUAGCUGAUGCAAUAUUAUUAUUAUUAUUAUUUUCAUUUUCUCUUUGCACGACAUGCGUCGAAAGGUCCACGAGAAAACGAUUUUGCGCUCGUAUUGCGUGGGUUUGGCCGACACAAAUGACAUCCACGCUCGACUUAAAUAAUGACACAUUUUCUUGUAGUGAUAGGAUGUUUCCUUACUUAUAAAUAUUUUUUUAUCAGCAAAUAAUUAAAUAAAAUUAAAAGGGACACUUCAAGGGUGUUCCAACCCUUAUACAACCCGAAAAAACACACUCUCAGAAUGCUACCUAUCGUAGCAUCAAGAGCGGCAACCCACAAACCCCCCAUCCCACUAGAGUUCCACCUCAGGUACGUAACCAAAAGGCCACCAACAUCAGAACUGGUUUGCAGAACAGCUAGUGGUCCAGCCAUCCAACUAGCACAGGUUACCAAAACUGCACCUAAACCAUCCUUGUUGAAUUUUCCAGCGGCCAAGCUAAAAACCAGCUUUGACAGCAUCAGCAUAACAGCACUCCAAAGGCACCAACCAACACUCCAAUCUGCCCUCCAACCAGCACACCGUCCAAGGGCAGCCCAACCAAUGCACAUGACCAUCUUCAACCCAGAAUCUUGCACAACCAACUCUCCAACCAACAUAUUCCUCCAGAGAAGACCUUCCUUAAAGCUUGAACCAACGACCAUUUAACACCCCGUACAUAUCCCUUGAAAGCAUAUAAAGCCGAACAAAAAACUACACAACCACUCUGGUACUAGCUCCUUGCCAAGCUUAGGGACCUACACCUCCACCAAACUAGCAGCUUCACAUACCCAAUGCAGACCUAAACCAUACCAGGGGAUAAAACUUACUACUCCUGAUUGUCUAAAGCUAGCUCCUGCAAUACAUUCCAGAGGACCAAAGCUUAUGUUGAUUGAUAUGCCCAUUCAAGAUCUACCUCAGUACCAUCGCCAGCUUCUAUGAUACUUUGCUUAACAUGCUUACACACUGCUCCAACAAAAUUUCACCCAUGACUAUCAGAGGAACAAAACAACCAACUACAUGAUUCCAUUACCUCCCCAUGUCUUAAACCAGCAGAGCUUAUUCCUUGACAGAUUGUGAGGAAGCUAAAUGGGCUUGCUUGCCAGACCCAACACACUACUGGACAUCUACGGCUAGAUCUCAGCUCCUAUAGCCAGCAACACCAAAGGAUCUCCAGUAGUGUGUUAGGUUGUCAUGAAUUGCAGUAAGACAACCAAGGCUGAGAGGAAGGAAGGAUAAAAGCAAAUAUAGAACUAUGGAGCAACGCAGAGGCCGUUUGAGUUGUCAUGAAGAUGAAGGGGUCACAACGUUUUUCUUCUCGAACUUCCCAAACGGAGUGGGAGAGGUAGACAUGUUCAAGGUGUUUCAAAAGUGGGCUCGUGUGAAAGACGUUUUCAUCUCUCGAAAAUUAAAUAAAUGGGGAAGGAGAUUCGGUUUUGUGCGGUUCUUUGGAAUGAGAGAUGUGGGACAUCUGGAAAGAGAGCUAGAUCAGUUAUAUGUAGGGAAUAAGAAGCUAUUUGUGAACAUCCCAAAGUACCGAAGGAAUAUGGAGGAACAAAGCAGGACAGAAGGGAGGCUUCGGAGGGCUCCCUAUAGGGCGCGGCAGAAUGAAGAUAGUCAUGCCCACAAGAAAGUCACGGUGACAGGGGGAGAACAGAGAAGGGAGGACAUAUGGGUGGAGAAGAAAGGAAAUAGGUCUUAUGCAGAAGUUGCUACCGGUACAACUACGAAUCAGUGGAAGGGAGUAAGUUUCAAAAAACAACAACGUGUGUUACCGUGGAUGGAUAGGAGUGCGGUGGGGAAACUUAGGGUGGUAAGAACGUUGAACAGUUGGUGGAGGAGUUGGUGACAGGGGGCAUAAACAUGUUACGUGUAAGAGCUUUGGGGGACAACCUUGUAUUGCUUACACCAAGAGAAGGGGAGAAAAUGGAGAAUUUUAUAAAGGUAAAUAGUGAGUGGGUUGAUUGUGUGUUUGAAAGCAUUAAGCCUUGGUCGCUCUCCAGUGGUCCAAGUCAUAAAUCAAUUUGGGUGAGGUGCUACGGAUUGUCGCUUCCUCUGUGGAAUGAAGAGUGCUUUACCAAAUUGAUAGGAGCUCUAGCCCCGUCGGCUAUGCUGGUAGGUAUUGACAGCUCUACAGAGUCAUGGGAGAAUUUGGAAUUUGCGAGAUUACAAGUUCGAAUCCUGAAGUGUGAGAGUGCUAGAAUGGAAGAAUGUGUGCGAAUCAACAAUCAGCUAUGCAAUAUUCUCAUUGAAGAGGAGAGCCCAUGCUGGUAUGGAGGCAGGGGCAAGAACGUCAUAUCAUCCUCUACAUUGUCGGAGAGUGUAUCUUCCUCAUAAACUUACAUAGAAGAAACAGUUUUCACGAGGAUGAACGGUGAGGACGAUAAUAGAUUAUGGAGGGAGGAGGAACACUAUUCAAAACGAGAAGGGGAAGGAAAAAAGACGGUGGAAGAAGAUGAUGAACAGUACCCGAAUGAGACAAAACUGUUAUAUGUGGGCUCCUCUUCAAAAACAAAAGGUUGUUAGUGGAAAGGUGAAAAAACCUUAAUAGAAGGAGAAAGAUAUGGGCAUAAAGGAUUUGUUAAUGUUGACUUGAUAUCUUUCUCUGAUGAUGACUGUGGGGUAGUUGGGUGCGGCAAACCAAUACAAGCUGAGUUGGCAAAAUUGGUGAUAGAGCUGGAGUGUGGAAAUAACUUACCAGUUACAUGUGGGACAACGGGCCUUGAAAGAAAGAAAGAUGCCCAUUUCGUAGGGGGCUGGUCCGUGCACUUAGCCCAGUCAGAAGAGGAAGUUGAUGGUGCUGGAAAGAAGAUAGAUGAAGAGGAGUGUGGCUUAAAGGAUGAAACAGGAAAUAGCUUGUUGGAGCGCGUAAGCCCGUUAGGGGACCCAGGGGUGAGUCCCAGUGGAGUAAAAUGACGGGUUCUCCUACACGAACCAAAAGCAGCGGGUCUUGUGUUGGAAAGUGGUUCAUCAUCUAAGAAAGAGGUAAGCAUGGGGGAACAAUGUGCGUCUGGAAGAGCAAUGAUGGGAGCACUAUCAGAGCCCCCUUCUGAAGAUGGGGGAGUAGUAGAGAAAUGCAAGUCAAACUCACCGCAACGUCUGAGAAAGAAGAAAGGCCUUGGCAUUGUGGGGGAAUCACGAUCACACCCGAGGCGGUCGGCAAGGAUUAGUGAAAGACACUCCCAGGCGAGCAUAGUGGAAUCACCGUAGCUGUGGGCAAUUGGAAAGAAAAUUGGUUUGUUGUGCUGAGAAGAUGAACAGGAGGUUAUUAAAGAAUACAAUGGUAUGGAAGUAAGAGACUCGGAGAUGGCGUUUGGCCAUAAAGAAGGGAAUGAUAAUAGUGUUUUAUGAUUAUUGUGACCUUCAAUAUAAGAGGAUUGGGGGGAGGUAAUAAAACUAGGUACCUGAGACAUAUUAUAGCGAAUGAGGGUGCUGAUUUUGUGUGUUUGCAAGAAACAAAAGUGAAGACUUUAUCUGAUGCUAAAUGUUACUCUUUGUGUGGGAGCAAUAAAGUGGGUUGGAUACACUAUGAAGGGGAGAAUGGAAGUGGAGGAAUGUUGUCAAUGUGGCAUCAAGAAGCUUUCACAUAUGAAAAUCACCUUAUGGGAAAGGGGUACAUUGCGGUCUACGGCAGUCAUGUUAAAGAUAAUCUGAGAUGUGUUGUGGUUAAUAUCUACGUUGCCUGUAACUUGAGAGAUAAUAAGACCCUGUGGAUGGAGUUAUCCAAUAUCAAAUUUAUCUCACAAGAGGCGUAUUGGUGUUUAUGUGGCAAUUUUAAUGCUAUCAGAAGUCGAGCUGAAAGGAAAGGAAGCACGAAUAGAGUGAAUUACGCAAGUGAGAUUAGAGGUUUUAAUAGCUUUAUUGAUGAUAAUUUGUUGUUGGACACUCCUAUUGUGGGCAAAAAAUAUACUUGGUUUAACUCAAAUGGGUCGGCAAAGAGUAGAAUAGAUAGAGUGUUGGUUACAGAGGAAUGGAUAGAAAAGUGGCCUAUGUGCAAACAGUAUUGUAUCGCCCUGGUAGUCGGAAGUGAUGACGUGGCAUCGAGCUGUUAUAUAGGCGUGUUGGAUGGGGCACCUGGUUGGCAGAAGGGAAGGAAGUCGGGGGGUUGGUGUAGUCGCCAGUUGUUAAGUUGGCAUGUUCCGAUCUCCAGCAUGCCUAAACCGGCGGUCACCGGGUUGAAGAUGAAGUCGCCAGAUGUGAACCCAGGCGACCAAGUGAUUAGAGAUCGCCGAAACGAGGACAUCGCCGAAGAUGAAGGCAGAUAGUCAUUUCCCAGCUGGCCAGAGGCUGAGGUCGGGAGACAGCUUACUUGAGCAUAUACGGUGAAACAGGUAGGGUAGAUCAUGAAGGCGGCCGGCGAGACCACAGGGAAGGUGUGUACGAAGGCACCCGAACUCGCCACCCAGUAGAGAUCACGCUCCAAGGCAGCUAUGCACUGAGUUGUAUCAUGCAUAAGUAACUUAGCCAACAAACCUGAAGAGUAAGAAAUAGCGCCCAAGUCAAGGAUGCUCCAGAUGAUGGCACGUGUACAGCUGGAUGUGAGCCACGUGUCCAGAUGUGUAACUACCAGGAGAGAGAAAGUGCCCAGGUAUAUAAGAGUUUCCAACGAACUUCUGAGGUACGGAUUUUCAGAUUGUUUCUUUACGCUUGCAAGUUUUGAGUACGCUGAGGAGAACUUGUCACGGUUCCUUAGAGUUCUUGAGUUUUACUCUUAAGUAAUUGGUGGUUCAGUCGCUGACUUGGGUGUCGGAGCGUGAUCGGCCGCAGCGGCGCCGUUUCGUCUUUUGCAGGUUCUUGAGGUGGAUCACGGUGAAGGACGGAGGCUAACACGGCGCAGAAGUCGAUCCAAGUUUGACGAGGCAAAGCUCCAGCGUUUUGGUCAACAGGCAGGAUCAAGUAUGUACAACGAAGGGAAGUCUCCGAUUACUGUGCCAUAGUGGUGAAGUCAACGGAAAAAGAUUGGGGACCUAAACCUUUCCGAACUAUUGAUGCGUGGUUGUCAAAAAAAGGUUUUGGUGAGAUGGUGAAGACUAAGUGGAACUCCUAUUCAAGCUGGGGGAGAGGGUUUGUGAAGAUAAAAGAGAAGCUAAAGUGUUUGAAAGGGGAUCUAAAACUAUGGAAUAAGGAUGUGUUUGGGAACAUUAACACAAGUAAAAAGAGAAUUUUGCAAGAUAUUGAAGACAUUGAUUGUCAAGAUUGCAAUGGGAAUAUCACGGAAAAUGCCAGGCUUAAAAGGUGUGAGCUGUUAAGCCGUCUCAAGGAAAUUGAUAAAAAGCUUGACUCGCUUACGUGCCAGAAAGCGAGAGUAAGCUGGCUCAAGAAUGGGGACUCCUGCACGAAGUUCUAUCAUUCGACCCUUAGAUGGAGAAGACUAAGAAAUGAAGUUAAUGGUGUGGAGAUUGGAGAUCAGUGGUGUGAGGAACCUAGUACGGUGCGAAGAGAGGCGAAGAUGCUUUUUUAGAAGAGAUUUACAACGACGAAGGAUCUGGGCGUAAGACUGGAUGCAGUUGAUUUUAAAACUCUCACUGGUGAGGAUAAUCUGGGUCUUAUAGCUGAGUUUACUGAGAAGGAAAUUAGAGAUGAUGUGUGGCAGUGUGAAGGUGCAAAGAGUCUAGGCCCGGAUGGUUUCAAUUUUAACUUUCUGAAGAAGUGUUGGGAAGUCAUAAAAGUGGAGGUUGUGGAAGCCAUAAAAGUGAAGGUUGUGGAAGCGGUGAAGCAGUUUCACGAAAAUGGGAUUAUCCCAAAAGGCUGUAAUGCCUCUUUUGUUGCUUUGGUACCCAAGGUCAGGGACCCUUCCAGGCUCGAGCAAUACAAACCUAUUUCGUUAGUAGGUGCUAUAUACAAAAUUAUAGCAAAGCUGUUGGCGGAAAGGAUAAAGAAAGUCCUACCCUCUGUUGUGGAUGAAAGCCAAUCAGCGUUCCUGAAGGAUAGAUGAAUCCUUGAUAGUGUACUAAUGACUAAUGAGGUGGUAGAAGACAUAAGGAGAAGAGGGAGAAGUGGGUUGUGUCUAAAGGUAGAUUUCGAAAAAGCAUACAACUCAGUCAAAUGGGAGUUCCUCUAUGACAUUCUUCAGGAUGGGGUUCCAUCACAAAUGGAUCAUGUGGAUUUGAGGGUGCUUGGAAACUGCUACUAUAUCAAUUUUAGUUAAUGGGAGCCCUACGGAGGAAUUUAAACCCUCUAGAGGGCUGAGGCAGGGUGAUCCCUUAACAUCUUUCCUCUGUCUUGUAGUAGCUGAAGGCUUGGUUGGGUUGGUAAGGCAAGCUGUGAAGACAAACAUGCUUUUUAGCCUUAAGAUCGAAAGAAAGGAGGUCGAUAUGAGCCUCCUUCAGUAUGCAGAUGAUACCUUGUUCCUUUGUGAAAACUCUUUUACAAAUGUGGUGACUUUGAAGGCUAUUUUAAGGGGUUUUGAGGUAGCCUCAGGUCUUAAGAUUAAUUUCCAUAAAUCAAAGCUAAUAGGUUUUAAUGUACUUAGUAGUGAUAUUGACUGCUACACAAGGACUCUGAAUUGCUCUCAGAUGGGAAACAAGUUCAACUACUUGGGCCCAGAGGUAGGGGGAAAUCCAAGGAGGAAAAAGUUCUGGGAGCCUGUGCUAUGCAAGCUUAAAUCACGGCUUAAUGUGUGGAAAGAGAGAUUCCUAUCAAUGGCUGGUAAAAUAUGUCUUAUCAAGUCCGUUAUCACGGCCAUACCGCUGUAUUAUUUCUCUCUUUUCAAAGCUCCAAAGUCGGUAUGUAAAAGUAUUAUCAGCAUUUAGAGAAGGUUUCUCUGGGAUGGGGAAAGGAGAAAAGACCGGUGGCUUGGGUUAGUUGGAAAAAUAUAUGUAAACCGAAGGAAGAAGUGAGACUAGGUAUCAGAGAUAUACGUAAGUUUAAUGCAGCGCUCUUGGCUAAAUGGAGAUGGCGUUGUAUAUCAGAAGAGAAAAGGAGGUGGAAGGAAUGUCUGGACUCAAAGUAUGACCUGGAAUAUAAUGUUACUCGAAUUUCGUUGAAAUUACAGUCAUGGUGGUGGAGAGAUUUACGAAAGGUAUGUGGGGAGGAAGGAACAGAUGGGUGGUUUCAAGAGGAGGUCGGCUAGAGCAUAAGGAGUGGAGAUAAAACAAGAUUUUGGGAGGAUGUGUGGGUUGGUAAUGCAAAUCUCAAGUCCCUAUUCCCUAGAUUGUACUUAAUAUUGAUGAACCAGGGUCAAAAGGUGGAAGAGGUAGGGGGUGGGAAGACUUGGGGUGGUGUUGGAAACUAAGGUGGAGGUGAGUAAGAUUUGAAUGGGAGAUUCCUUUAGAAAACGCACUUGGUAUACUUAUAUCUAGUGCUUCUGUAAAAAGGGAUAGAAAGGAUGCCCGGGUGUGGACAAGCGAUGAAUCUGGAAGUUUUACGGUGAGAUCUGCAUAUGAAUGCCUAGUUAAAGCUGAUAGGGGCCCACAGGUUGAUGUCUUCAAGUACCUAUGGAAGACUAAAACGUUCCCUAAUGUGGUGAUCACAGCAUGGAGGAUGUUGUUGGGUAGAGUACCCAUUAGAGAGGGCUUGAGAAAAAAAGGGGUGAUGCUGGACUCUGUUUCAUCUAACCCAUGUUAAUAACAAACAAAACAUGAUCUAGAAAGGUUUUUGGGUAGCUGCGGUGAGGUGUAUUUAGGAACAAAGGAACUAUGUGGUUUUUAAUUAGGGGUAGCUGAUUCGGAAGAAAUCUUGCAUAAGGCACAACUGAAAACCUGGCUUUGGUUGAAACAUACGAUGAGUUCCUUUGUUUAUUCCUUUCUAGAGUGGUAUCUGAACCCCUCAUGUGUAUCAAAAGUUAUAAGUAAAUAGGGAGGGGUAAAGUGAAGGUUGCUACUCUUCUCUUAAGUUGAAGGUAGUGAGAAGAAAGAAGAGUGAGGAUUGGGAUUGGUGGCAGAUUAAGCACUCAACAAUACAGUGGUGACAGGUUAAAAAAAGAGGAAUCAUGGUCUGUCUGUUUUCUACUGAAAUGCAGCAAAAUCAUGUUCGAAUAAAGCUUGUGCAACAACUUUUGGUUAGGAUAAAGUUGCCGUGAUGCAGUUGGUAGUGAUGCAGAGCAGUGUUGUGGGGUGGAAAGGUUCAUUAGAAUUUAUGUUCUGCUUAAUCUCUUGUGUUGUACUGUUGUGGCACUUCUAAGCUGUUUAAGCCGCCAAUAUCAAUUAGAAUUGGCAAAGGACCUGUAGAUGGUGCUCUAUGGGGUGUUUGUGCUGCAUUAGGUUGGUGAAGGCAGUUUGAAGGUUAUGCUAUGAAGAAGGGGAGUCAUUAUAGAAGAAGUGGUUGAGGGCGUAGGGUGGGUCACAGUGUAGAAGCUUAUGCAGAUCCACUCAGUGCGGACUCGUUUUUUUAGUGGCUAGACGUGAUAGUCUAAGACAGCUGAGGAAGUAUUGGAGGAAGAAGCUACUGUCAAUGCAGAACAAGCUGUAUAGCUGAGUAGAGCCAUAAGAUGCGUGUACAGUGUAGAGGAAAAUCAAGAAUUUCGUUCUUGUGAAUCACUGGAAUUCUUUAGUUCAAUGCGUAUGCUGCCAAGGUUUUAGGCAGCACAAGCCUUGUUAGAGCCUUUGGAACAAAACCUUUUUUGGAUGCUUUUGGAAGCUAUAGCAUGAUGUAGUUGUUUUUGGAAGGUAUAUAUGCUACAUAAUAGUGCCUAGCCUGUUGCCUCUGUGGCUGUUUUAGAAAAAAGGGUAUUGCGGUUUUUAUAAGAAAGUGUGUUGUAAUUUUGAAGUAGAGGGUACCAUAGGUACAUGGUUUGGCUUAUGCGGUUCAUAUGGACAAAUCCUACAAUGUUAUGCAACUAUGUGAAGUUCUGUGUGCAUCAUUUCUAAGCUUCUUAUGCCAAUUUUUGCAACAUAGGCGAAGUCCUUGCCAACUCUGCCCAUGCUGUCAUGCUUGUAUUGUUGUGAUGUUGCUAUCAUGGCAUCAAUGUUUCUAUGCAGAUUGGAGAGUGUAGAUGAAAUCCACACACUUAAGGAUCAAGACUCAGGACCUUUCAGGUGGAGUAGAGAAGAACUUCAUGGAAUUGGAGCUAGAAGGAUUGGAGUAAUUGGUGUGUCAGCUCUAGGGUGUGUGCCCUUGUAGAGAACACUUAAGGAGGCUUACGGUGAUAUUGUUCAAGUUCAGAUAACCAAGCAGCAUUUCUCUUCAACUCAAAACUUGCUGCAGCCACAAUCCUGGAUAAUUUUGCUGUAUAAUGUGGCAUAAGUGCUGCAAAUCAACUGCUUAAUUGCAGUACAACGGGGGAGCAUAGGCAAUAGUGUUUAAUUAUUCAACAUUUGUUGCACAAUGCUGGAAAGUGCAUAUUAUGUACACCUAGUAGUGUAUUGAGCAAUCCCCAACGCUAUUAUUAAGAGAUUAAAUAGAAUUAUUCUGCAGAAUUUUUAUGUGCUUAAUCUAUGUUUUCAGGCCAUUUGUGUAGUCUUUUAUGUGUUGGAGGAAGGGGUUGUAAGAAUGGAUUUUAGCUUAAGAACCUUAUGCCCUGAGUUGAUAAUUGGUUCUUGGUUCUUAAAUACCGGUUGCACACCACAAGUGUUUCCUUUUAAUUUAUUUAAUUUUUUUCUGAUUAAAAAGAAUAUAUAAAAUUUUAUAUAAUUUGAAUUAUAUUAACAUUUUAAUUUUAUACUUAUAAUCUAAAUAAAUAAAUAAAAAUUAAUACCAUUAAAAAGAGAUCAUAUAUGGUUGCCCACACCCAAAGAACUACCUCAAGGCAAAUACAUAAAAUAAAAAUUGUGUCUAAUUUUGUUAUGUAUAACUUUUGGCUCUUUCACCAAAAAGAAGAAUUUCAGCUUUCUUUACAACUUAACAAAUAUUUUGUAAGUGAUUUUUUUAUCAGCAAAGAAGCAUUUCUUAAGUGAUAAUCUCAAGUCAAUUUCUUUUUAAAUCAAUAUAUAAAUAUUUAGGUAGAAGUAGUCAUUUUAAUUUCUUUCUAAAUCAGUACAAAAUAUUUAGGUAGAAGCAGUCAUCUCUACCGUAGAAGAAGUAAUUCCUACUGUAGAACCAGUAUACAAUUCUAAGGAAGAUAAAUUCUCAUCAUACAUAUACCUUUGAACAUAGAAUGCAGGUUUUUGAGGUAAGGAUACUAUUGAACUCUUGCUUGUCAACAUUAAUAUAAUGUCACUCAUUGUGGGUCGAUCAUUUGCAUAAUGUUCAACACAUAAGAGACCAAUAUGAAUACACCUUUGCACUUCCUCGUGAUCAAAUACCUCAUUUAAUGAUGGAUCCAUUAAUUCAAAGUAUUUGUCAUCCUUCCAUAACUCCCAUACCUAUAUGUAUUUACUCAAGUUAGUUACAAUAAUAUAUAAUAUCAUGCCAAAAGAACAAACUUACCAAAGCUAAUUUUACAUACAUGUCCAACUAGAUUCAAAGGGUGAUCAUCAUCAUAAAAACUUGUGUUUUUUCUUCCACUAACUAUUUCAAGCAACAACACUCCAAAGCUAUACACAUCAGACUUUGUAGAAAAUAUUCCUUCCAUAGCAUAUUCUGGAGACAUAUAACCACUGCAAGAAAUUUCACACGAGAAAAUAAAUUUUAUUUAUACAUUGAUAUAAGAUAAAUGUAACUGAGUUUCGCAAGCUUACUAUGUCCCAACAACCCUGUUCGUAUUUGUCAUCGAGUCUUGUUGAGUAAACAUUCUAACCAUUCCAAAAUCUGAUAUUUUUGGAUUCAUAUUUUCAUCCAGAAGUAUGUUACUAGCUUUCAAGUCUCUAUGAAUGACUUUGAGUCUUGAGUACUUGUGAAGAUACAAUAAUCCUUGAGAAAUCCAUUUUAUUAUGUUGAAACGCUUAUUCCAAUGAAGUAAUUUGCUUCUUGUAGAAUCUUCUCCAUUUGUCAUAUAGUAGUGAUGUAUGUUAGAAUGUAUACUAUAAAAAUGUAAAAAAGAAAGUGACUUUUCUUCAUGAAAACUUGAGUAAUUAUAGUAAAUUUAAUUGAGAAAUAUCCUUGUUCACCUACAUAAGUGUUUGGAUAGCUGCAUGAUAAGGAAAACAAAAUUUAUCUGUUUAACAUCCUAAAUAAGACAUAAUUAGACAAUGAUAAACACAUUCUCACCGAAAAGAUGGAAAUCUAAGCUUUUGUUGGGCAUAUACUCGUAAAUUAGAAUCUUCUCUUCAUCAUGAAUGCAACAACCAAGUAGUUGAACAAGAUUCAUGUGCUGAAGUUCACAUAUAAGUGUUAGUUCAUUUUUAAACUCAACAAUUCCUUGUGCAGAACUUCUUGCAAGUCUUUUUAUAGCAACCUCCUCUCCUGUUGGCAAAGUUCCCUAAAGAAAUGAGAACAAAAAGGUCAUGAGUGCUUUGAAAUAAAGUUACCAAGACAUAACAUGAGUAGUUUCAAUCACCUUAUAAACUGGUCCAAAGCCUCCCUGUCCUAACUUAUUCUCUGAUGAAAACUCAUUUGUAGCUGCCACAACCAAUGUAUAAUCCAAUACUUUUAAACCGUAUUUCUUAUUCAAAUCAUUUCCUAAAAUUAGAGUCAUUUCUUUCCUUUUCUUCUCUGUUCAGAUGACAAUGAAAAAUAUUAAAAUACAGUGAUCAACAAAUCUUUUUAGCAAUGAGUUAGAAGAAUGUAAGUACCUUGAAGCACAUGUUUUCGUUUCUUUACUGCCAGGCAUAGAAUGGAUGCGCAUAGUAUGAGUAAAGUAGUUGCUAUUACUGUACUUAUCCAUAUCCACCUUUUUGUACCUGCAUACAACAACUCAAAAUCUUCAACUAUCAAUUAUUAAUUUUAUUGCUUUAUAUUUUUUUUCAACGCCAUUGUUAAGCGUUGCAGCCAAUGAGUUCUUUCCUUUUCAAUUCGGAGAUCAAAGACUUCUAAAAAAAGAAUUUUUUUUUGGUGCAGUUACCUAAAAUCCUCACUCUUGAUAAAGGGUCUAUUCAAUUUAGGGUAAAGGGUCAAGAAUUAGACAAAGAAGUUGUACAAAGAAAGAAAUGCUCAAGAAUUAUUCAUUUUUUUAUAAUAAAAUUAAAUUAAGAGGGAUAAAAAAAGGUAUCCCAACCCUUUUACACAAUCCAUACCACAUUAAGAGAUUACCAAAUAAAAGGAAGAAAGAAAAUAUAUGUUCUUUGCUGCGCUAAACACCUAGAUAAUAAAGGGUCUAUUCAAUUUAGGUAUGAUUGGAAUCUUUAGACUUUGCUGUACAUAUUUUAGGGUAUAAUUGAAACCAUUAGAAUUGAAACUUCUUUUUGGUGUAUAAAAAAUGAAAUGAAGUUGGCAUUAGACCUACCGUGAGGAUGAUCGAUUAUGUUCCCUUUGUUCUCAAGUAAGUAAAUGUCUUGACCCGAAACAGUGGCAUCAACUAUAUAAUCUUUUGAUGAAUUCCAUUGAAAGAAUCUACAUCCAGUCCCAUCUGUAUAGAGUUCUGCAAAUCCAUUGCAAUUACAAUCGCCCCAGCAAGCAGCCUCACAAUCACUGUGAUUAAUAUUCUCCUUUGUUUCAUAGGUUACAUUUUCAUCAUUAGAGUGAAUACUCUUUUUGGUAAACACAUCACCAGGAAUCCUGCACUUGGGUAUAUCCUGCCAUCUUUGGCACCCUCCUUCUGUGUUGUUGUAUCCAUAGCACAGAUCAGCCCUUGCAACAUAUCCCUGUUUGUCAUUGUAAUAUAACCUCCCAGUAUCCGAUAACGACCAGAUAUGUGUAAUGUUUUCAUUUGUAGAUGUGAAAGAGAAGGUGUCUUCAUCCAAAUUGGAGACUAUGCUGUACUUCAACACGGCUUGUGCAUCUUCUGGAAUGUGCUCAAAUCUAUUGUUCCUCAGUUUCCCACUUUUCCAACAAACUUUUCCUCGUCUCCUUAUCAUCAGUUCUUGUCCCCUCGGUUCCCAUUCAAGACUAAAGCCACCUGGAGUCGGACCGUCUUCAUUCUUCUGCGAAGAAAGUAACGAACGAUGGCCUGUUUUAUGAUUAACACCUAACUUCAUGGUGGGGAUCAAAGUCGCAAAGGGAUAAUCAAAACUCUGCCACAAGAGAGUGUUUGUCCCAUUGGAGUGAAGGUGUUGAAGCACAAAGUUGCCUGUGUCCAACAAAGUGGCCACAGUGUUGUUGAUAGGUUGAGGAGGAGAAUAGAGAAUAAUUGGUUUAUUCACAGAUGAAGAUUCUAUUUUCAGCACGCCAGAGAAGUUUAAGGAUAGAACUGCAUCGUUAUAGUCGACAGAUUGUUCUUUAUUACCCUCCCAAACUAUAGCAGCUUCAUAUUCACUUUGUAUUGUUAAGUAAGUGAGAAUUUCACCUCCACUUGUUACAGAAUUAAAAUACAGAAGAUAUUUGCGACUCUUAGAAUAUAGUUCUGAAGAGGUGUUGAAUGUGUCACCGGGCUUUAAACUGUCAUCUGCUGCAUCAACAUGAGUAGAAGAACUGAAGCAGAACCAGAGAUGCAUGAAAGCAAGCAGAAGUUUGUGAAGGAUAAGCCUCAUAGGAUGCUUCAAAUAUGGAAAGACUAAUCUGCAAGAAGAAGGUGAGACUGUGAUACUAUGUCGUAAGUUCAAAUAAUGUGUAUCUACUUUUUAAGUGCAAUUAUUUUCGUUGUAAAAAAUUAUCUGUCAAAGCAUCAGAAAUCAAACUUGAUAAAACCUAAAAUCUAAAGCGAGGUUGUCACAUUCAUUUCAUAAAAAUAACUAUACAAUAUUUUUUUCACAAGACUUAAUUCAUUGUGAACUGAUUUAUUUGUUUUACAAUUACUAUAUAUUUUUACUAUUAUUAUUAUUUAAAUAACAUUCUGUUAAGUAAUGCUUAUUUAAGCAAAGAAAUAAAAUGUCACUAAUCAUAAUACAUUAAAAUUAGAAAAAGAUUAUGAGUGAAUAAAAAUAAAUAUUUUUUUUUUAAUUACACACCAAAAAUAAUAUAAUUAUUUUAAUUUAAAUCUUUUAUUAUUAUUUUUUGUUUUCAGCGUUAAAGAAAAAACUAAAGGAAUAUCAAGACUAAAAGUAAUAAAAAGUUUAGAGGGAUUUAACUUAAGUGCAUAACUUUAAACAUACAUAAUAUUUGUAAUUAUCUAUACGUGUGUGCAUAUAUAUAGAUAUAUUAAAAUACAUAUCUAAAAAAUUAAAAUAUAACAGAGGAAUACAUUAAAAAUUAUGACAAAAUAAAAAGUAUAUAAAUUACAAUUUCAAUACCUGUUAAGAUACAAAAUAUUUUACUAGCACUUGCACGUGAUUUUUUUUUCUAAUUUAUUUAUUUUUUAUCUGAAUUAAUAGAAUAAAAGGAACUUUAAAGUGUCCAACAUCAACCAAAACCAAACCUAAUUAAAGCAAACAACAGAAAGUAAAAUAUAUUUGUUUAGUGUUAUAUUGUUUAUAAUAGUUAAAAUAAUAUAAAAAAAACUAUAAAUUAUCUUCAUUUCAUCGAUAUAAGUCAGAAUAACACAGAACAAUUUAGAAUUUCUGAAAUUCGUGUUCCUUUUCUGUUGGAAAGAAAAAGAAAAGAUGUUUUAGUAAAAGAAAAGAAAAGUACCACUUAUCUUUACUAAAAAAAAUCGAAAAAAGUAUGGAUAAGUUGAAUACUCGAAAUUAGAUUGUAUUUUUGAAGGUACAUGUUUUAUAAACACUUCUAAAAUUAAAAAGAAAAAUCCUUUCUUUAUACAAGGUAAAAUUACUUUAUAAAUAAAUUAAAAAUUAUAUAUACAAAAUUAAUAAAAAUAUUUUUUACAAAUAUAUAAAUAUUUUUUAAUUCAUAAACGAAUUAUUUUUAAAAAAAUUACUUUUAGAAUGUUCGCACAUGAUAUAUUAAUAUAAAGGGAAACACGUUAAGAAUGGCCGACAAAAGUUUGUGUUAUGGGACCUAUAUCUUUCGUUUCCUUUUGGUUUUGAGUAAUCUAUUGUCUUCCAUUAUUGAACUUUAAAAGAUAUGGGAUAUCAUUUUAGCAUGGACAAGUUUAACACUUUUUUUCACACAAUAGGAAAAUUAUGAGUUCAUAUUUAUUAGAGGUUCAUAAAAAAUUUAAAAGAAUUAGUAUAUAAAAGGAACUUAGAAGAGGCUUGAAUCUAUGUUUUUUUCUAAAUUGUGUUUAACUUUACUAAUUUUAGUUUUUAUCUAUCAAACAAUAAAUUUUCCCACGGUUUUGUUUUUAAUUUAAAGAUUUAAUUACCUUCGUCCCUACAUUUAGGGUCAAUAUUCAAUUUAGUACAGUAUUUUUUAAACAAAUCAAUUUGGUCCCUAUGUUUUUAAAAAUGUAUCCAAAAUUUUCCUUUCUGUUAAGUCGCACGAAACAACGUUAAGUGGUGCUUAUGUGGCAAAGAUAAGGGGUUAUGUGGACUGUCAAGUAGGUGACACUUUGUUUUGGGUGAUUAGGGUUUCGGGUAUGAGAUUGGAUAGGCAGAGAUUAAUAAAUUCUGGUUGUUAGGGUUUCCGUACGUAAAUGUUUUUGCUUGUUGCCUUGUUCACAUAAACGAGUAAGUUGACAUAUAGGAGGGUCGUCGUUUGGGGUGGAGUCUGGUGAUUGUGGAUUCGUUGGUUGGGGAGGAGUAAUCAGCGUUUGUGAUUCGUUCAUGGGUGUAGAUCUGUUUGUGGUGGAAAUGUGUGUGCCUAUAGGUCUGCAUCUGUAUCAUCAUGCAGUUGUAAUCGAGUAGGUUCCUCAAUCGCUGCCCCUUCACGAGCUCUGGAUCACACCUCAGAAUGGAUUUGGGAUCGCACCACGGGAACGCACUACACAAUCGAACGUCACAUCACACCACAAGAUCGCACCUCUAGAUCCUUGUUCACAAUCGCACCUCACACCAUACAAUGCGUAAUCCCCAAGUGAAAUUAUUGUAACCCUAACCCCCAAUUCAUUCCUGACUAAGCUAAUGUAACCAUCCACGUCGCUUGACACGUCUCUGCCAUAUAAGCACCACUUAACGUCGUUUCGUGCGACUUAACAAAAAGAAUCAUUUUGGAUGCAUUUUAAAAAAUAUGGAGACCAAAUUGAUUUUUUAAAAACCACUGUACUAAAUUGAAUAUUGGUCCUAAAUGUAGGGACGGAUAAGGUAAUUAAAUCUAAAUUAAACAAUUUUGAUUUGUUGUCAUCAUGUAUAAUCCCACUCAACAUUAUUUCCAAGGUUAAUUAGAGUAUAGUAUAUGUUUUUUACCAUUAAACAAAAAUAAAUAUGAAAACUUUGUAUUUUGUUAUACUAGAUCAUAUCAAGAUACAUUAUUUAAUGUAAAUUUUGGUUCAGCUAAAAUCUAAGUUUCAAGUUUUUGGAUCAUUCGGAUUUUCUUCAUCUAAUGGUUUAUGGUGGUCUUAUGAGUAUCAUCUCUUAUCGAUAUUAUUGUUUGAUGGAUAUCAUUGUUUGAUGGGCAUCAACGUCUGUAUUGAACUACUGCUUUUGGAUCGUCUACUUCUUUUAUUUAAGUUUCUCUGUAACUGUUAGUGCCUCAUGAUAUUUGAAACUCAAUUGUUGUACACGUCGUUGAUUUGUAUGAGAAACGUGCAUAGUAGGAAGUUGUAAGGCAGUUAUUUUUUGUCUUGUAGUUAUGAAAGUGAACUUGACAGUUUUCAAAAACAUAAGAGUAGAGAGUGUUGUUGCGAGGUUUAGAGAGAAACUUUUUGUUGUAACCUUUAAGGAUACUCAUCGUGGACGUAAACUUCAUUAACAAUAUAAACCACGUAAAAUUGCUUUUGUGAUUUUCAUACUCUGUUCUACUCCGUUUUACUUUCUCAUUCACGGUUUCUCUUUUUUUUAUUAAUAUUAUUUUGAUUAAAUGAUCCAGUGAAUUGUGUUUGCACUCAACAAAAUGGUGCGAUGAACAUGGAAUGAAGAAACUCAAACAAGAUUACUUCUGCAAAGUAUGAGGUUGACAAAUUCACUGGAUUGAAUGAUUUCUAGCUAUGGCGGUUGAAGAUGCAUGCUCCUUUAGUUCAAUGGACCUUCUUGAGGCUUUGGAAAGAGAUUUCAGGUCUGAAAAACUCAUGACUGAAAACGACAAGACUACAUUGUUAGAAAAGGCUCUUAGUGCAAUUUUUUUGAGUCUUGGUGACAAGGUCCUAAGGCAAGUUUCAAAGGAGAAUAUUACUAUGAGGUUAUGGACGGACUAUCUUGAAGCCACUUUAAAAAAACGUUACGUAUAACUUGUGGCUCUCUCACCCAAAAAAAAUGGGCGUACUCUCACUACAAGAAAACAUCAAAUUAACUUUCAAAUAUUAGCGUUGGCCAAAUUCUGACGUUGUUAUAGGAAUCAACUUAAGAGCUUGUCGAUGAGCUCGCCUGGGAUUUGAUAUAUGAACCUCCUAACAAUGCUCGGAACAUAGGUUGUAUUGAGGAGUGUGCAUACCAUUCAUACAUAACAAAACCAACUAUAUUAGCAUAUGUAAUACUGUAUAUAUAGCAUUAUUCCUCCAUUAUUUUAUGAGAUUUUUCAUCAUUCAACUUAUAAUGAGAUGCAAUAUGUGUGGAUAUAGGUUUUAAGUUUUUCAUACUAAACUUCACAAGGAUUUAUUUGAGAUAGGUCUCAUAGGACACAUGUAGAUGUUUCAAAUCACAUCGUCUAAUGAUCUUAAUCACCAAUAUAUUCCUAACUCCUAGGUCCUUCACAUGAAAGUCAUUGUUUAACAUAAAGUUAACCUUUUGUACAUCGGGUUUAUUAUCUUUUUCUAUUAAAAUGUCAUUUACAUACAUCAACAAUACAAUGAAGUGACCUUCUAAUAGAAACUUGAAGUAAAUGCAACUAUCUCUUGCUAUGUUAAAAACCAAUGCUCAUAAUGAACUCAUCAAAUCAUAUAUUCCAUUCCCUAUAAAGAACAUGUAUAUGGUGACGAUUAUUUUUGUAUAAAGUUGCAUUUACAACCGUCACAAUCUACAUGUGUGGUAAUUCUGUGUACCUCCACUGAUCUGGCCUUCAAAAGUAUAAUGUGACGGUCUAUAAACACCACUUUAUAUAUUAUAGUAUAAUGUUUGUAACCGUCACUAUUAUAUUAAAUUGUGAAUUAUUGUACGUUAGUAAUAACGGUUGUAAUUAGAGAAUUAAAUAUUUUAAUUUUUAAUAUUACAAUUUUUAAUAUUUUAUUGAAAUUGUUUUUAUAAUUUUCAACUUUUGUUCAUGAUAUAAUUAACUUGUUUCAAUUUAGACUAGCUGAAUUUUCUGAACCCACAACUAGUGCAAGAAAAUAUCAUGCAAGAAAAUAUCAUUGUUCCUCAUCACCUGAGGGUAUAACCUAAAUUAACAAGCUAAUAUGGUUAAACUCCAAUUCUAAUUACACAACACUAAAAAUGGACUCCUUUGUCACAACAAGGUGGUCUUCCCAUGUCAUCAACGUGUACAUGUUUAAGAGUAAGUAAAUCCAAGUUUACUUUAAAUAUCUGAACUAUUUGUGUAGCUUGCAUUUCUUUGCUAGUAAAGAAAAAAAAAUGAUGAUACCAAAUAAAAAAUUUAUCUCCACAUAUGCAAGCAGACAAAAUCAAGUAUCAAUUGCCAUAGAUCAUUGAGCUAAAAUUUGUUUCAAAACUUUUAGUUGAGCUGCUUAAUUAGAACAUUGAAGUGUCCAUUCCCAUCCUAUCUUAUGAGUGCAAAUGAUCUUCACACCACUUUACCAAAUUCAGGUGGAAGGCUAUUUAUUACUAGCACAUGUAAUGAUGACACUCAAUUGUAAUGCUAGUGAUAUAAAACUGGGAGCAGAGAUAACAAUUAAAUAAGAUGAGAACAAAAUAAAAGGAAAACAAUCUAGUAAAAAAUUAUUUGAUCAGCAUUAAUCAUCAUAAGGCAUCAUCUAUAAAGAUGAUUGCAAAAUGUUCCACAUAAUACUCUUAACACUUGUUGAUGUAGAGGAAAUAGACUAAGAUAAAGAACAUAUUUAACAAGACUUAGCAGAAAAUAAUAAUAAAAAUAAUAAGCUCAACAUCCUAUAAUAUUAAUACUCAUCCAACAAGAUUCAAGAUUCAAAAACAAAAUCUUGUCAGAAAAACAAAUCUGCUAAAUAAGACUAAAAGUACUAGACAACAUAACAACCAGAUAUCAAAACUUAGCAAAUAUGAAAACCAGAUAUCAAAACUUAGCAAAUAUGAAACAUACUUGAAGCAUAUGGUAAACCACCUGAAAUACAACUGAAGCAUCUAUGAUUAUUUUGUGUUUGGGAAUAUCCAUUAGUGUGCAAAAAAUAGUCAGCAGAUUUCUUUGUGUUAGAGGAUUUUCCAUUUCCUGAAACAUCAAAAGAUAUGAAGUUUGAAUCCACUUAUACUUAUUACCAAGAUGACAAACAUGACUCAAGAAUGAAGGGAGGGUGUCAUUCAAGUUGGUGGGGUAACUACGUCUUCGCGGUAAUGGCAGAGAUAGAACUAACGGCAACGACGCAUUGGGGUGGAUGCGUGUGGUGUGGGAUAUGAGAGUGAGAAGAGUUGGGUUAGGGUAUUUAUGAGAAUGGUUGAUGAUUCCAGGGUGAGGGGUCUGUGUUUCCAAAUGAGAGGAUUUCCAAAGAGAAGAGAUGAGAGUGUUUGCAUAGGGGUAAAAGAAAUGAUAUUUGUAGGAAUACAAUGUUUUGGGGAAUAAUAAUUUUUGGAAAAAAAGAAGAAUGUUGUGGAUGGAAUGGGGAAAAUUAGUUGAAGGAAAAAGAUGAAUGUGAUGGAGGCAACAAAAAUGUAGAGAGCGGUAUACUUCAUAAAAUGGCGAUGACAUAUUUUGAAGAGGAAAUGUGAUGCUAAUUAACAUGUCGUAUUAAGAGGGAGCAGUAGCAAUUUUUAUGCAUAUCAGAAUGCUUUUUUUUGGUGUUGAAUAUAAGUUGUGUUAGUAAAGACUCUGGCCAACUUCAUACCUUUUUUGUGGGUUUUUUCUGCUACCUAAUUGGGAUGCACAAGAGCUGCAUAAUUGAAGUUUUUGCUGCAUAAUUUUUUCUGGACUUGUAGGGGAAAUUAUGCAGGUUCUUUGUAGAAUUUUGCAGCCUCUAAAGGAGUUAUGCAGGUUCUCUUUCACUGCAGAAUUCUACAGCUUUAGUAUCUUAUUGGAAAUUCACAUGGAUCUAAUCUUUUGGAUGUUGGCCCUUGUAAAAGGGUUGGGACACCUCUUAAGUGUUCCUAGUAAUUUAAAUUCAUUCUUUGCUGAUAAAAAAAAAAUACGAAUAAUUGUGACAAAUUUUAAUAAUCGUCAUAUUAAAACCGCCACAACUUACAUAUUUUUUGUAGUGGUUGACUUAUCGAUUGUUUCAGACCAUGCAAGGAUAUGUUUAACUUAAAAACAUAAUGCUCUUUGUCUCCUAUCUCAAAUCAUUCUGGUUGCUUCAUGUAGAUAGUCUCCUUUAAUUAUCCAAAUAGGAAUGCAACCCUAACGUCUAUUUGUUCCAUCUCAAGGUUAAGUUCAACAACCAUGGCUAACAACAUCCAAAUAGAUUUGUCCUUUACUACAUGAGCUAACACAUUAUUAUAUUUAUCUCCUUCACUCAGAAAAGCCUCUAACCACCAAUCUCGCUUUUAAUUUUUUUAACUAGUUUGUGGAAUACCAUAUUUACAGCUAACCGACCUAGAACCAACAGGUCUAUAUGAAUAAGAGUCCAGGUAUUGUUCAGAUGAAGUGAAUUCAUCUCUUCAUUCAUGGUGGGAGAAGGCUUCUAUCUAGGUUAAGUGACAAAUGGAAUUAAUUUAGUGGUGGAAAAGUGAAAUGGUCAAAUGGUAUAGAAGUGGUUGUGGAAUGAUUUCUUGGAGAGAUAGUGUGGGAAAGUUGGUCAUGUGUUUGGUUGAAUAUGGUUUUGUGUUUUGGGGUGAUCUUUGUCGACUUUUGUGGAUAGAGGGGAUAUGAGAUGGGAAGCUUGACAAAAUCACAACAUAGAUACAAAAUAAAUGUAAUGGACCAAGCAAUGGACCAAGAUGCUAAUGGAGAAAAUGAAAAUGGAAUAGGAGUAAGUAAAGGUGGAGAUUUCCUUACCAAGUGUACACAUCCUAGGUUGGGCGGCCAUAUCCUAGACGGUCUCUUGAGACUCUUCUUAGAGGGUCCAAGAAGACAAUAGGAAGGAAGGCUACUUGGGAAAACUCAACCAAACAACUUUUUUUCAUGCUCAAACUCACUCACAAAAUGUGUGAUUUUACAUGGGCGAAUGUGCUCUUUUAUAGCCUAAGAGUCAUGAUAGUCAAGCUUCUAAGGAGAGUGUGAGACUUCUUAACACACGAUUUCCUUAGGAUUUUCUUAUUAUACACUAGUUAGACUUAACCAAACGGUCUACUGAGACCAUCUACCAAAUAUGAUAGAAAUUGUAAAUGAAACUCUAGAUGGUCUAACAUGAUAAGACUGUCUAGUAACAUUUAAACAAGUUUUUACCGAAUCAAUCUUCACAUAUUUGAAUGAUUUGAGGGAAAAAUUAAAAAUAAAACAAACAUUUACUAUCUUAAAAAUAUAACAAACAUUUCUUAACUGACAAUGCAUAAGUAAAUAUCGUUUCUAUUUUUAUUGGUACAUAGCUCACUCAGGUUUAUUCUAUUUCCAACGAAGUAGUAAUUUCUACUGUAGAACUAGUACACAACUCUGAAGAAAAUAACUUCUCAUUAAACAUCUCUCUUUGAAUAUAAAAUGCUGGUUUUUUAGGUAAAGACACUAUUGCACUCUUGUUUGUCAGCAUUGAUAUAACGUCAGACAUGGUUGGUCGAUCAUUUGCAUAUUGUUCAACACAGAGGAGACCAACAUGAAUACACCUCUGCACUUCAUCAUAAUCAAAUGACUCAUUUAAUGAUGGAUCCACUGAUUGAAAACACUUGUCAUCUAUCCAGAGUUCCCAUACCUGUAACUAUUUUAUUCAAAUUAGACAUAAAGAAUAUUAUACCAAAAAACAAACUCAUGAAAAUUAAUUUUACAUACAUGUCCAAUUAGAUUUAUUGGGCGAUCCUCAUCAUAAAAACUAGUGUUUUUACGUCCACUAACAAUUUCAAGCAACAAGACCCCAAAGCUAUACACAUCAGACUUUGUAGAAAAAACUCCUUCCAUAGCAUAUUCUGGAGACAUGUAACCACUGCAAGAAAUAUUAUAUCAAAAAAUAAAUUUUAUUUAUAGAUUGAUACAUAAGUUAAAUAUAACCAAGUUUAACAAGCUUACUAUGUCCCAACAACCCUGUUCGUAUUUGAUACUGAGUCUUGUUGGGUGAACAUUCUAGCCAUUCCAAAAUCUGAAAUUUUUGGAUUCAUAUUUUCAUCCAGAAGUAUAUUACUAGCUUUCAAGUCUCUAUGAAUGAUUUUGAGUCUUGAGUACUUGUGAAGAUACAAUAAUCCUUGAGCAAUUCCCUGUGUUAUGUUGAACCGUUUAUUCCAAUCUAGUAAUUUGCUUCUUGUACAAUCUACCACAUGGUAAAAAGAAUAAAAUGACUUUUCUUCAUGAUGUUAUAACUAGGAAAAUUGAGUAAUUCUAGUAAAUCUAUCAUCAACAAACAAUGACAGUUGAGAAAGAUCAAUUUGACCUACAUAUGUGUUUGAAUAGUUGCAUAAUAAUGAAAACAAGUUUUAUCUGUUUGACAUCAUAAACAAGACAUAAUUAGAUAAUGAUCAACACAUUCCUCACCGAAAAGAUAGAAAUCCAAGCUUUUGUUGGACAUAUACUCGUAAAUUAGAAUCUUCUCUUCUUCAUGAAUGCAACAACCAAGUAGUUGAACAAGAUUGGUGUGCUGAAGUUCACAUAUAAGUGUUAGUUCAUUUUUAAACUCAACAAUUCCUUGCGUAGAACUUCUUGAAAGUCUUUUUAUAGCAACCUCCUCUCCUGUUGGCAAAGUUCCCUAAAGAAAUGAUAACAAAAAGGUCAUGUGAGUCCUCCGAAAUAACUUUACCAGCACAUAACAUGAGCAGUUUCGAUCACCUUAUAAACUGGUCCAAAGCCUCCCUGUCCUAACUUAUUUUCUGAUGAAAACCCAUUUGUGGAUGCCACAACCAUUGUAUAAUCCAAUACUUUUAAACUGUGUCCCUUAUUCAAAUCAUUUCCAAAAUCUUCUAUUAGAGAUAAUUUCAUCUCCAUUUCUUUCCUUUUUUUCUCUGUUCAGAUGAAAAUGAGAAAUGUUAAAAUAUAGAAUAGUGAUAAAAAGAUUGUGUUUAACAAUGAGUUAGAAGUAUGUAAUGUAACUAACCUUGAAGUACAUGUUUUCGUUUCUUUAUGGCGUGGCAUAGAAUGCAUGCGCAUAGUAUGAGUAAAGCAGUUGCUAUUACUGUACUUAUCCAUAUCCACCUUUUUGUACCUGCAUAAAACAACUCAAAAUCUUCAAGUAUCAAUUAUAAUUUUACUGCUUAUUUCCUUUCCUAUUUGGAGAUCAAAGACUGCUAAAAAAAUGUGCAGUUCCCUAAGAUCCACAGUAAAGUUGUACAAAGAAAGAAAUGCACAAGAAGUAUUCACUCUUGAAAAAGGGUGUAUUCAAUUUAGGUAUGGUUGGAAUCUUUAGACUUUGCUGUACAUAUUAUAGGGUAUGAUGGGAACCAUUUGAAAUGAAACUUCUUUUUGUCUAUAAAAAAAUGAAAUGAAGUUGGCAUUGGACAUACCUUGAUGAUGAGGGAUUAUGUUCCCUUUGUUCUCCAGUAAGUAAAUGUCUUCAGCCGAAACGGAGCCGUCAACUAUAUAAUCUGUUGAUGAAUUCCAAUGAUAGAAGAAACAUCCAGUUCCAUCAUCAUAGAUUUGUUUGAAUCCAUUGCAAUUACAAUGGCUCCAGCAAGCAGCCUCACAAUCGCUGUAACUAAUAUUCUUAUUAUAGUCAAAGGUUAGUUUUUCAUAACUAGAGCGAAGACUCUUUUUGGUAAACACAUCACCAGGAAUCCUGCACUUGGGUAUAUCUUGCCAUCUUUGGCACCCUCCUUCUGUGUUGUUGUAUCCAUAACACAGAUCAGCCCUUGCAACAUAUCCAUCUUUGGCAUUGUAAUAUAACCGCCCAGUAUCUGAUAGCAACCACCGACGUGUAUGGCUUUCAUUUGUAGAUGUGAAAGAGAAGGUGUCUUCAUCCCCAUUGGACACUAUGCUGUAGUUCAACACGCCUUGUGCAUCUUCUGGGAUGUUCUCAAAUCUAUUGUUCCUCAGUUUCCCACUUUUCCAACAAACUUUUCCUCGCCUCCUUAUCAUCAGUUCUUGUCCCUUUGGUUCCCAUUCAAGACUAAAGGCACCUGGAGUCGCACGCUCAUUGGUCAAGUACGAAAAAAGUAACCAACGAUGGCCUGUUUUGUGGUUAACACCUAACUUCAUGGUGGGGAGCAAAGUGUGAGGGGAUAAUCAAAACUCUGCCACAAGAGAGUGGUUGUCCCAUUGGGGUGAAGGUGUUGAAGCACAAAGUUGCCUGUUUCCAACAAAGUGGCCACAGUGUUGUUGAUAGGUUGAGGAGGAGAAUACAGAAUAAAUGGUUUUUUCAGAGAUGAAGAUUCUACUUUGAGCACGCCAGAGAAGUUUAGGGAUAGAACUGCAUCACUCCUGUUGACAGAUUGUUCUUUAUUACAUUCCCAAUCCCAAGCUAUAGCACCGUCAUCUCUAUUUCGUAUUACUAAGUGAGUAAAAAUUUCAUCAUCUUGUCUACUAAACUCAAAUCCUAGAAGAUAUUUGCGACUCUUAGAAAAUAGAUGUGAAGAGGAGUUGAAUGUAUCACCGGGGUUUAAACUGUCAUCUGCUGCAUGAACAUGAACAGAAGAACUCAACCACAACCACAGCUGCAUGAAAGCAAGCACAAGUUUGUGAAGGAUAAGCCUCAUAGAAUGCUUCAAAUAUGGAAAGACAAGUCUGCAAGAAG